AUACGCCUGCCGCUGUUGCUGUGGAACUGUUCGUUUUUGCUGGCGUUUAUGAUUAUAAUGUACGCACCAUCAUCACUUCACCGGCACGAUCAUACUUUGAUUUGCUGCUGCCAUGAGAAGUUAUGUACGUAUCUAAUAUCAAUAAACAUAGUAAGCUUUGAGCUUCAUGUAGUUUACGUAUAUGUAGUUGCUGCCAUCCUUGGACUUGUACUCUACAUUUGUAUGUAUAGUAUGUAAUCUUAUUGAGACAAUAUGGUGAUAUCUUUGACAAUAAGUUUUUAUUGGGACAUCUUUUAUUGUGAUUGAAGCUUUUAUUUGUUUUGGAAUUAAUUCCAAGUGUUGAAUAGUCGUGCGAAAUAUUCAUUUAGUAUGGUAAAAAUCAAUAGUUAUUCGAGAAUAUGAUAUUAUUAAUUGUAGUUAAUUUUAACUUAGGCGGAUGAAAUUACCCUCGCAUUAUAAUAAAAAAGUAUCUUUUCGUCACUUUGGCUAUUCUUCUUUAUCUGAAAUCUUACUUUUUUCGUCGAGUCGUUCACCAAUUAUUUAUCUCUGCCCGUCUUCGAUGUUACAAGUACAUUGGUGUCGAACAUCAGCAGUAAAGUGAUUGGAACAUUGCCUUUAGUCCUGGACUUCGCACCGCUGGAAUAAAUAUAUAGGAACGAAGUUCUCUUGGGAUGACCUAGUGGUUAGGGUGAUUGCUUGUUGUCCAAGAGGUCACAAGUUCGAGUACUCUCGGUCACAAUAAUCACUAGGUGGGGUGUGUGUGUUGUUUGUAUUAUUUAUAAUGUAAUUUCAUUAAAAAAAUAUAUAUAUAGGAACGCGUGGAUAUAUGGAGCUCCAGAUAAAAUUAUUAGUUAGAUAAACUGAUAUAUAAGAACGCGUGGAUAUGUGUGGAUAUAUGGAGCUCCAAAUAAAAUUGUUAGUUAAAUAAAAUGAUAUAUAGGAACGCGUGGAUAUAUGGAGCUCCAGAUAAAAUUGUUAGUUAGAUAAACGAAUUCACUUAAAUUGAUAGUGAUGGCAUAAAAUUCAUGUGUUGUAGGUGAGCUAUAAGCAUUUUACUUCUUUAUCCUUGUAAUUUUCUCUAUAAAUAGCCUCUCCACACAAGAUGUAAAGUUACGAUAUAUUGAAUCUAUAAAAAAAAUUAAUGCGUAAUCCGUCGAAAUUCAACGGAAAAUUAUUUUAAAUUAUAUGUUACUCCCUUUCCCAUCAUUCUCCAAAAUUAUGCAUACCUUUCCUUUUUAGUACGGCCCCAAAAUUAUGCAUAUCCUAUUUUUAGACAUUAUCCUACAUAUAAUUCUAACAAUUUUACCAUUUUAACUUACACUAUUUACUCAUAAUAUAUUUAAUAAUUCUUUCAUUGUGAGACCCUUUCUCCACUAUCAUUACUACAAACUUUUAUGCAUAAUUUUUGGGGACGGGGGAGUAUUAUUUUUGUAUAAAUAAUUAUUUAUAUAAAUUAUUUUUAAAUUUAUUUAUUUUAAGGUAAUAUAGUUGAAAUUAUAUUAAUUUGAAUAAUAUUCCUCAAUUAAAUGUUAACCUUUUGUUAGAAUAAUAAAUAUUCUUUUUAUAUAAAUUUUUAUUUAAUAAUAUUUUAGAAAAAUAUCAAUAUUGAAUAUUUUAUUUCAUCUAAGCAUCAUCUCGUCUAAAUCACCCUGUAGGAUCAUAUUAUCAUCUAAAGCCCGAAAGACGACAUCUAAUAUUUGAACACCGGACUUUCGAGCAUAAUCUCGUCUAGACCUUAAAAUACAAAAAAAAUGAAGUUUUAUGUGUCAAUUUUUUUAACAUCACUAUCUGGAGGUUUAAAAAUCAAAUUUGACUUGUGAGAUUGUAUGAUUUGGAGCUUCUAAUAUCAUAACUAGCUUGUAAACAUCAUUUUGUAUGGAACUUGAAAAAAUCUUGACAAACUUUUAUGCAUUAUUAGUUUCAAAUAUUAUAAUUGGGUUGCAAGAAUCAUCUCGUUUGGAGUUUGAAAGAACGAAUUUAACUUGUGAGUAUCAUCAUUUAAUUGGGUUUCGAGAAUCAUCUCGUUUGAAGCAAUUCAAAUUAUAUUAGUCUCAAUCAUUCCGCCAAUUAAAUAUAGAUUUUUAAUUUGGAGAGCAAGAGCUUCUUCUUGUAUAAGUUUUAUUUUAGUGAAACCUUAUUAAAAAAAAUCAAUGUGAAAUGAGGUGAUUUAUAUAAAUUCUUCAUUCGGUUGAAGUUAUUAUAAAUUUAAUACAUAAAGGUUUCUAAUGUAUUUUAACAUCAUAUCCUCUAUUGUUCUUUAUCUAAAUUCUUCAUUUAUGCAUUACUAAUUUCAUAAUUUAUUUAUUUAUUAUUAUUAUUAUUAUUAUUAUUAUUAUUGACGAAACUGAAACAAAUAAAGUUUUUUAGAUAUGAAAAAUAUAUUUUUCUUCUCUAUACAAAUAAAAUGUACGGAUAUGUUUUAUAAAAAAUAAAAAUAAAAUUUUAAUUAUCUUGAUAGACAUAAAAUAAGAUUUUAUUUUAAAGUAACCAGGUUAUAGAAUUUGUGCCUUAUUAUUCAAACAUGUAAAUCAAUUACCGAACCCGUUUAUAAUUUACAUACACGUGCAUGUCUCAUGUAAAUUAAGAAGAUAAAUAUUAUAUAUAUAUAUAUAUAUAAAUUCAUACAGUAUAAUAUAUUGCAACAUAUACAUAUAAUAUAUACGCUUUUGAGAAAUAUAAAAUUAAUAACAAAUAUACAUCUAAUGACUAACAUUCAAUUAAAAUCAUUUAUUGUAUAUAAAUUAUAAUUUUUUUCUUGUCAGACAUGUAAAUCUAAUUUUUAUCGAGAUAAAAUAAAUAAUAAAAUUUAUUAAUUUAGAUUAUAUGUAAGUUAUUAUUAUUAUUAUUAUUAUUAUUAUUAUUAUUAUUAUUAUUAUUAUUAUUAUUAUUAUUAUUAUAUACAUUUAUUAUUAAUUAUAUUUAUUAAGAUUAAUGAAUCUUUAUAUGGAAUGUAAUAGUUAAUUAAUUAAUUAAUAAUGAAGAUUAUAUAUGAUAAUUAUUGAAAUCAAAAUAAUUCUAAGCAUACCACAUAAGUUAAGGCUUAAUCCUAUUAUAAAGAAGAUACUCAGUUUACAGCCGAAAAGGAGUUCUUCGUUUUAGUAUGUAGUUUACUAAUACAGGUAAUUAUUCUCCUGUUGAUCUACGUGUAUGGUAAUUGAUUCACCAAGUUUUUUGUUUUUUACUAUUGAAUCGUUAUUAUUCAUAUUAUUGAACUAUUUUUAGUUUGGAUUAAUUGCUUCUAAACUCAAAACGUUUUUAGGAAUUUGAAAACUGUAUAAGGGCUUCUUUUUUUUUUGGAUACAUAAUCUUUUAUUUUUUCUAAUUUUGGUCCAAUCGUCAUNUUUUUUUUCCAAUUUUAAUCUAACGCAGGCAUCGAAAAAUGACACGUUGGACACACCAGACGACCAAGUGAAAGGAUUAUUUGCCUAUAAAUAAAUCCAAAACAUUUUCAGGAAUUCGAGGAUUGCACUUGAGCUUUUUUCUCUCAUAAUACACCAUCUUUUAUUUUUGUUCUAAUUUUGAUCCGAUCGCCGAUUUCUCCAAAUUUUAAUUUGACAUGGUCAUCAGGGAUGACACGAUGUACACACUGGACGACCAAAUAAAACGAUGUUAUCUCACUUAAAGGAAAACAACAUCAUUUUAUGUGAAAUUAACUUUAUAAAUUACUAAUAACAUUAGAAAGAAACAAGAUGAUAAUGAAAAAAUCGUUAUUUUCGAUAUUAUUAUAUGUGUAAAGCUUCUGAAGGCUUGUGAAUUUUAACAAGGAGAAUAAAAAACAAAAUGGUGUGAUAAUAUUAUCCUUCAUUUGUAGUGUAAAUGAGGAAUGAGUAAGUGCCAAGUAGGAAAUGUGAAAAAAGAAAUGAAGAAUUUAAAGGGUUAAAUUUUGUUUAUCCUUCAUUUUCUCAUGACAAAUUUUCAGCCAAAGAGAACGCACCCUUAAAUGAGAUGAAGUACUGGGCAUACAAAAUCAAAAUUUAGCCUCAAAUCUUAAAACAUCAAAUUUUAGCCAUUAAUUAGGCGGUAUGCCUAAUUUGCCCCUUUUCCAUCGCACUCCAAUGGCUGCCUCUUCCGCUGCGCUGAACUCAAAUGGCCUCCGAAGUGAAACUGCCGAGCUGCUCCACUAUCCUCCGUCCUUCAAUUGUCGUCGCGGAGUUCUGAGCCUGCCGUCGAAUGCUCUCACGAACCGGAGUUUAAUCUGCCAGCGCCGCUUUCGCCGCGUCGGAGUGGUGAGAUCGUCCGCCACCACGGCGGAGUCGGAGGCUGACUACGCCGCCGGCGAAGGAGCACCAGGUGUCGGCAGAUCUGAUCUGAUAUGUAGGCGGCGGCGACAGAUCUGAUCUGAUGAGGCGGCGGCGGUGGAUCUGAUCUGAUCGUUGCGCCGCCUCCUCCAUCGGCAGAUCUGAUCUCCGCCUCCUUUGAUUUCAGCCAUCGACAGAUCUGAUCUGAUCUGUGCUGCACGUAUGGCACUUAUAGCACUAAUAGUGCCAUAAGUGCACACUUCCCCCUAGGGUUUAUAUAUUCCAUUUAGGGUUUAGAUUAUUCAUUUGGGGUUUAGAUGUUCCAUUUAGGGUUUAGAUUAUCCAUUUAGGUUUGAGUUCAAAUCCUAUUGAACACAUUCUACAAAUUUGAAUUUUUUUUUGCCGAUGAGGCUUAGCUUAAACGGCAAAGCUGAGGAAUUCAAAGACUUUCUUUUGUGAGAGGUAUGGGUUCAAAUCCCGCUUGUGUGCUGCGGAUAAUUUUUCACAAGUUGUGAAUUGGUGCAGUGAAUAAGACUUUAUUCUUUCUUUCAAAAGUCAAGAGUUCAAAUCCUAUUGCACACAUUCUACAAAUUUGAUUUUUUGAAAAAAGCAUGUCUCCUCGCUAGGGUUUUCCUCACGAAACCCUAGUUGUCGUCUCCAUGAAUUCGUCGGAGUUGGGCACUGUCGCCGGCUCCUGCAUGCCGCAGAGUUUCCCCAAAGUCUCGACUAACUUCGAUCCGCUUCCAAGAGGUCAAGUUACGGCUGCCCCUUCGCCUAGGGCUGCGUCGCCUAGGGGUUCUUCGAAGACUGCAGUUCCAAGGGGCUCACCAUCGAAAUCCCUCAUGAAUGAAAAUAUUGCUAUCCCACAGCAGUUGCCAAAACCUACCUAUGCGGCGGUGAUGGGUCCGAAGCCACCACGCAAACCGGAUAUCCCUGCCCAUUCUUUUUUUGCGUUAAAACCUACUAAGCAAGGAGAUGAAUUUUCUCUUAACAUACCUUCGGUGCUGUACCAAAAACAGGUGGCGGAAUUCAAGUUUGCUCUCAUUGGUAGGCUUCUUAUGAAAAAAGGUCAGAAACCAAAGCCGACGCUGGAAAUAAAGUCGGAGUUGAAUAGCAUCUGGAAUAUACAGAAUGAUUGGCAAUUGAUUCCGAUGGGUAAGGGAUUUUUUACUUUGAAAUUUGGAAACGAAGAAGACAAAUUACGGGUGAAGCAACGUAACUUUUGGGAGUUGGCUUCUGGCACGAUUAGAAUCCGUGCAUGGGAAAAAGUUUUUGAUCCCUAUCGGGAGGUGUCUUCGUUAUGUCAAGUUUGGGUUAGGAUUUACAAUCUUCCGGUGGAAUGUUGGCAUCCUGAAAUCAUUACGGGGAUUGCAAGUCACAUAGGUCUUCCUAUCAAAAUUGAUAAUGCUUCGGCUCAUGGAUCCUACGGACAUUUUGCUAGGGUUUUAAUUGAAGUGGAUCUUGCCGUUCAUUUAUGUGAUUCGUUGAGAAUUAAUUGCGAUGAAGGUCCGUUCUAUGUGGAGUUUAGCUAUGAGCAGUUGCCUCAUUAUUGUACGCGAUGUAAAAUCACUGGUCAUAAUAUCGCUCGAUGCAAGAAAGGAGAAUUCCGUGGUGAAAAAAAGGAAGAUAGGGUUCGACAGGCUCCGGUUGAACGGGAGGCGGGGGAGGACACUAUGGCAACAGAAAGGGUCUUGGAACAGUGGAAAGCUAAAACGAUGGACAAGGGAAUGGACAGUAGAGGCGCUGAUGAUCUGUAUGGACCGGACUUGCUCGAUAACAUCCUUGUGAGGGUGGAUACGGAGGGUUUGGAAAGACAGAUGGAGAAAGACAAGGAGUUUUUGGAGGAUAACGAGUAUCAAUGAAAAUGGGGAAUCUGAUGCUGAGACCAUUUUUGAGGAGGAACUGCAAUCGAACAUGGCCUUUGAGAAGUUGGCGGAGGGUGAGCCAUCUGGGAUGCCGGAGGGAACGCAUGCUGAGAAUGCGGUGGAGGAUAGUCCCCUGACCAGAGAGGAGAAAGCGGAGGAGGAGAGGCCGCCAGAGGUUCCAAUUAAGGGAGGAAAAUCUGCUGAAAAGACACAGAUGAUAGUUGUGGCAGAGGAGGUGCUGCAGGAGCAUUCGGAACAAAUGAAUGAUUUGGUUCCGCCCCCGGUUAAAAAACGGGGCAGACCGUCAGGGUCUACAAAUCGGAAAAUUGUCCCUUCUGAUGAUAGUAUAAAGGUGAGAUUGAGGAAACCUGAACAAAAAGGGGGGCAACAAAACAGAGAAGCUUCGCCGUCGGAAAUCAUUAUCAACAAAAAAUUAUCUGAGGCUGUCGCGGCGGGACAUAGUCCAAGGGACUUUGUUAUCAGGCAAGAGAAAAACUCGAGUGCUCAAACUAUGGACAAUAUCUCUGCAAAGAGGUGGGCUAAGGAAGUGGAGAGGGAAGAUGCCCGAUCCACAUCGAAUUAAUUUUUCUCAUGAAUGUGAUGGUUUGGAACGUCCGGGGGCUCACGGAUGAAUCUAAACUGAUUCUUAACGAGCAUUGUCGCUCGUUUUCUCCUUUGAUUUUGGGUAUCCUUGAGCCCAAAGUUAAGUUCUCUAAGAUCCCUUCUUCGUUUUGGAAGUCGCUUAAUCUUAUUCCCUGUCAUCAAAAUACUAGGACCAACAAGCGUUCUAAUAUUUGGUGCUUUGUUCAUCCUGAUGUGGUGGCUCAGUGAUCUUUUCCUCUGAUCAGGCGAUCAUUAUUGAGUGUGUUUGGAACAACUUCAAGUUUAAGGCUGCUGUUGUUCACGGUGCGAAUACGUAUAUCCUCCGGCGUCGGCUCUGGCUGGAUCUGCUGGAUCAUAUUUCGGGCUCGGUGGUUUUCAUUGGGGACUUCAACGCUGUUAAAGGUGCCCAUGAAAGAAGUAGUGCUUGUCUUCCUAAUUCCAGUUCUUGCAGGGAAUUUCGUGAGUUUAUUGAUACCAUGGUUUUAUUGAGCCGCCUAAAGUUGGUCUUAAGUAUACUUGGUCUGAAGGCGCUUUAUGCCUUCGCAUGUGGAGUCGACCAUUGAUAGAGCUCUGAUUUCGGAGGAGUUUGCGCCUCUUGGAAUUCUUGUCAUUCUCAUGUUCUGCCUAGAGUCACCUCGGAUCAUUCACCGGUUUUACUUAAGUGUGAGACAGCUAUGAAUCAUGGGCCUCGGUUCUUCAAAUUCUUGAAUAUGUGGACGAUGCAUGAGGGCUUCCAAGAUAUGGUGGCUGAGUCGUGGGCCAUUGAAGUGAACAGCAGAUGUCCUAUUUUCUCGGUGAUGAUGAAGCUUAAAAGGCUCCGUGGGACUUUGAAGAGCUGGAACAGGAACGUGUUUGGGCAGGUGGAUUGUCGGCUUAAGGAUCUGAAUGAGGACCUCCUGGAGGUCCAGAAUCAAAUUGCUUCGGUGGGCUACAAUGACGAUCUGUUUGAGAGAGAAGUCUCGAUGCAAGCUAAAAUCAACACGACUCUGUCCAGGAAAAAUAGUUUACUGCAGCAGAAAGCCCGGGUUAAAUGGUUGAAUGAUGGGGACCGGAAUUCUGCCUUCUUUCACACGAUGCUUAAAUACAAGAAAAAGCCGCAUGCUAUUUCGCACCUCAAGAUUGCGGAAGAUAUGGUGUAUGAUCAAAGUGCAAUCAGCCAACAUAUUGUUGAUUAUUUCUCUUCAUUGUUUCAGGAGAACAAUACUCAGGAGGUUGACAUUGUUGCUAUUGAGGCGUCUAUCGACCAUGUGGUGGAUGAGCAUCAUAAUAAACUCCUAACUAGAAUUCCUGAGGAUGACGAGAUUACUGCUGCUGUCUUCGCUAUGGAUAGCUCCAGUUCGCCUGGUCCCGAUGGUUUUUCGGGGAAGUUUUUCCAAUCGUGUUGGGGGAUUAUCAAGGUGGACAUCUGGAGAGCGGUUAGGGCUUUCUUCCAGAAUGCUUACCUUCCGAAUGGAUGUAAUUCCAGCUUCAUGGUGUUGUUGCCAAAAAAGGAUGUGGUUAAUUCGGUCACGGAUCUUAGGCCUAUCGUUCUUUCCAACUUUUUCUAUAAAAUCAUCCCCAAGAUUUUAGCGAAUCGUCUUAGUUGGUGGCUGCUAAAUGUGUGACGUGAAUCAUUUGGGUUUAUUAGCGGCCGCUCUAUCCAUGAUGCAUCAUGCUCGGAUCGGAGGGGUUAAUUGUAUGAGGCGAACUGGUGGGGUCGAAUAUGGCUUGAAAAUUGAUAUACAAAGCCUUUGAUACGCUUCGGUGGGACUUCAUUUUCAAGGUGUUGCGUGUGGCUGGUUAUGACGCUCAGUUUAUUCGUUGGAUGAAUUCUUCUUAGUCUGCCAGGCUCUCAUUCUUUACAAUGGUAAAACCCAGGUUAUUUGCCUGUUCUCGUGGGGUUAGGCAAGGGGACCCGCUUUCUCCUCUUUAUUUGGUAUUGCGAGGAUGUUUUGAGCCUUUUCGCAAUUGUGUGGCGUCGGGUCACCUGGUCCCUAUGAAGAUGACCGCUUUCGUUUUCCCACGCACUUCUCUACGCGGAUGAUAUCUUGAUCUUCUGCAAGGCUACUAUUGAUAAUGCGUCGACUAUUAAGAAGAUCCUGACUUUUAUGGCUCGCUUUCUGGUCAAAUCUAUAGCCCGGCAAAGUCGAACAUCUUCUAUUCGGACAAAGUGCCUUCUCAUCUUAAGCGGGCGAUUGGGAUUAUGGUGGAUUUUAAGAUGGGUUCGUUGCCUUGCAUUUAUCUUGGCGUUCCUCUCUUCGUGGGGCGUGUUCGUUCUUCUUAUCUUCGGAAUAUUCAUGAUAAGAUUGUGAAUAAGUUCUCUAGAUGGCGCGGUAAGCAACUUUCGAUGGCGGGUAGAGUUUGCUUGGUUAAAUCGGUGAUCCAAAGCUCUUUAACUCAUUCUAUGAUGAUUUAUAAAUGGCCCCGAGCGUUGCUCAAGGAGUUAGAUGCGAAGUGUCGCAAUUUCAUAUGGACCGGGGAUGCUGAUAAAAUCCCAGUUUGCACGGUGGCUUGGGCGCGGGUUUGCGCUAUCAAGGAGGAAGGAGGGCUGGGCAUCCGUUCCUUCACCACUAUGAAUCGUUCCUUUCUUAUGAAAAGAGCUUGGAACGUUUUAUGUGGGAAAGGCUUUGGCUAUAAUAUGAUGAAAGAAAGAUAUCUAAAGCCUUUUGGACAGUUGAAAGUUGUUAUGGCUCCCUCUUCGGUGUGGAAUGGUCUUCGCAAUGAGAUUAGUCAGUUACUUCAUGAUUCUUAUUGUUAUAUUGGUACUGGUACUCACAUUAAUUUUUGGACAGAUGAUUGGUUAGGAUAUCGUGUCGCGGAUAAAUGUGGAGUGCCCCGCUACGUGCAUGAUUUUCUCUCCCAUUCGGUGGCGGAUUAUUUUCACGAUGGGAUUUGGCACUUUACGCAAUCUUUUGUGGAUUCCUUCCCAGAGGUGGUUUGUGAUAUUCUCCUUCUUCCUAUCGGAGAUGAUGAAGACACGAGAUUUUGGAAGCCUUCUCUUAAUGGUAAUGUAACAGCUGCUCUUGCUUUUGAUCAAAAUUGCCAUCGUUUUCCGAAGGUUAAAUGGGGAAGCUGGAUCUGGGAAAAGCAUAUUCUAUCAGGAGAUCUCUUAUUUGCUGGCGUAUCCUUCAUGGGCGUAUGCCGACGCUGGAUCGGAUCAUUAAAUAUGGGCUCAUUAUGCCAAAUCAUUGCGCGAUCUGUAUGGAUGGAGGAGAAUCCAUGGAUCAUGUUUUCUGGAGCUGUUCUAAGGUUCAAAUGGUGUGGAGCAAUUUUCUGGAAUGGUUUAAUCGAACUCAUUUGCUCUGCUGCGUUGACAUCCACGGUUUCCUUAUUGCUGCAUGGAAUCAGAAAGAUAUGAGUACGCAGUUGGCGUGCUAUUGGAAAGUUGGAAUCAUCACUUGUUUAUGGAGUAUUUGAAGCCACAGGAACUCUUGCAUCUUUGAGGAGGAAAAAUUCAGUUGGAGGUGUGUUUUAAAAUCUAUAAAGGUUGCUUAUUUGGAGACUGAAUGUAAUUUCAGGAAAGUGGGACACAUGCGGAAUUCUUGUGAGGAGUUAAUGAUUCUUCGGAAAAUUGACAUUAAAGCGAGGGCGGUUAUGCCUCCUGAGUUUGUCAACGUUUAUUGGUGGCCCCCUUCACAGAACUGGAUUAAAGUUAAUACUGAUGGUUCGGCGUUAGGAGCUCCGGGUACGAUUUCAGCUGGUGGAGUGUUCAGAGAUAAAUUUAGCUGGGUUCGGGGUUGCUUCCAUAUCAAAGGAGGUAUCGGUUUCGCUUUCGAAGCGGAACUCCUUGCUGCUAUCACGGCGAUUAAAAUAGCUCACUCACGCAGCUGGAAACAGUUAUGGAUCGAAUCGGAUUCAACUUAUAUUGUUCAACUGCUACAGUCCCGUUCAAGCGCUGUUCCUUGGCGGUUCGCAGCUCAAUGGAAGAGAGUGUUAUUACUUCUUAAGAGUUUCGAGCUUCAUGUGACUCACAUCUUCCGGAAAGGGAAUAAAGUGGCUGAUAUCCUCGCUAACAAUGAUCGGCAGGAAGGGUGGUGGCCUCAUGAAAUUGAGGUAAUCCAAGCAGCUGUUCGACAAUAUAUGUCUUGUCACAGCCAUGUACGUAUGGUCUCUCAUUUUUAACGUUUGGUGUUGCUGUGUCGUGGACGGCUGCGGCGUUUGGUUUUGGGUGGGCGGCGGUUGCUGGGCCACGUGCGUCAGUUAGCUGCAUGGUCUGAUGUGCAUGGGGGGUGCUGGAGGCUUGGUUGGGAGCUACGUGGGAAUGGGUAGGCAUGGCGGCGUGGAUGGUGGGGGUGUUUUUUGGUUCUUGUCUUCCAGCUCCUAGUUUUGUUUGGAGUUCGGCUCCUGUUGGAAGCUCCUAGUUUAGUUUGGAGUUCGGCUCCUGUUUUCUGUUGUUGGGUCUUUUUGCUUUCGUUCCUUUGUUUCGGUGCUUGGGUGCCGGGGUUAUUUAGGGGCAAUGGUUCGGCCGGAGCUUCUGAAAUAACUCCAUCUCAGCUCCCUUGCAUCUUUUUCUGUACGAGUACUCUUUUUUCCUUGAUAAGGUUUUCCCUCUCGGGUUUUCUUAUCAAGGUUUUAAUGAGGCUCGGCCCUUAGUCUGCUUUUUCUGUGCUUUCAAGGGUUUUUGUUCUCUGUUUUCUCUUUUUCUCUUUUAAUAAAAUUUAAGUUAAUAAUAAGAUUAUCCAUUUAGGUUUAGAUGUUCCAUUUAGGGUUUAAAUGAUGUUGUUGUUUCUGUAUUUGUACUGAUGACUAUUUUACUUAGUUUUAUUUUGAAUUUCGUUGGCACUUAUGGCACUAAUAGUGCCAUAAGUGCCAAAGUGACUAUUUUACUUGGUUUUAUUUUGGAUUUCCGAUGGCACUUAUGGCACUAAUAGUGCCAUAAGUGCCUAACCCGACCCGGCACGCGACCCGCGUGCCUGAUCCUACCCAGUCCGCCUCAUUAAGGGCAAAAACGUCCAAAUCAAUAAAAAUGGCCAAAAUUUGUGUUUUUUCAAUGUGUGGCCAUAAAUUGUGUUUUAUGCUUCAUUUUGGCUACUUCAAAAUUUUACUCUUAUUUGAUCGUCCGAUGUAGUAUUUUGAAUUUAUAAGCAAUUACCUAUUUCAUUUGGUUGCUUGAUGUUUGGUGUGUUCAACGUACUAAUUUUUUACGAUCACAUUAAAUUGAAACUAGAAAAAAAAUUCACAAUCAAAUGAAAAUUAUAUAAAAAUCUUACAUAUUAUGAAAAAAGGAAAAAUACAUACUUUCCCGUCUCAUUAUAAGUGAUAGGGUUUACAUAUUUUUAAGAAUUAAAUUUUUAUUUAUAAAAACAGAUUACCUAUAAUAGAUCUGCAUAAAAUGAAAUAUGUGUCACUUUUAGUGGAAGGGUAGAAGUUCAAUCUUCUCAUUUAUGAAAACAGUUUAAAUUUACUGACAAUAAACUUUUUAUUUUUAGUUUUGUUUCUUUUACUUAAAAAGGGUUAGACUUGGGUGCGGGUGCCCGCAUGCUAUGCGGCCCCGACCCAGAUCAAAUAGUUAUAUAAAUGAUUUUAGUAAAUAAAAACAAAAGUAGUUUCUGGUGCACCGGUAAAGCCAGCGCCUUUUACUUCUAAGGGUCAGGGUUUGAAACCCCUUUGUCCAUUUUUUGCUUUUUUAUUAUUUUUUUUUUAGUUUUUUGUCUUUUUCGUUUUUUCUUUUGUUUUUUUUUUGUUCCUUUUUUAGCUUUAUCGUUUUUUCUCUUUUUUUGGUUCCUUUUUGCUUCUUUUUUUUUUUAGUUUUUUGUCUUUCAUUUUUUUUCAAUUUUUUUAUGCCUUUUUUGUUUAAUUUUUUAUUUUCAACACUUUUUUUCUAUUUUUUCCCAUUUAUAUGUGCUUUUUUAAUAUUACCUUUAUUCACAUCAAUGAUUAUUUUUUCUUACAACUAUAAUUACUUAACCAAAUAAUUAAAAUUACAAAUUUUCGUAAGUAAAAAUAAAAAUUUUCGUAAAAAUAAGUAAUAAUUUUAAAAUAUUACAUUUCUUCAUAUGCAUAAUUACUUUUUAUUAAGAUAAUAGUUACUUUUAAUAAAUAUAAAAUAUACAUUUGUUAACACAAAUAUAUACUUAUGAUAUAAGUAUUUACUUUCAUUCAAUAUAAAGUACUUAUAUAUACUAAAAUCGUAAACCCUAAACUCUGAACAGUAAAUCAUGAGCCGUAAUAGGAAUAUUUACCUUUAAUAAGUAUAAAAUAUACAUUUGUGCCUUUUGCUUUUUUAAAUUUGUAUAUUUAUGUCUAAGUUAUUUCAAAGUAAAUAUUGUUAUGAUGAAAAGUAAUUAUCUCAAUGAAGAAAAGUAAUUUUAAAACAUACAUUUCUUUAUAUCAACAAUUUUCGUGUAAAAAGUAAUAAUUUUAAAAUAUUACAUUUCUUCAUAUAAAUAAUUACUUUUUAUUAAGACAAUAUUUACUUUUAAUAAGUAUAAAAUAUACAUUUGUUAGCACAAAUGUAUUAAUGAGUGAAAAUAACAUUACUUUUCUUCACAUCAAUAACUACUUUUUCUUACAAAAAUAUUUAUUUGAGCAAAUAACUAAAAGUACAAAUUCCCAUAAAUAAAAGUAACAUUUAUCGUGAACAAGUGUAAUAAUUUUGAAACAUUACUUUUCUCACAUCAAUUUACAUUUUAUUACAAUAAUGAAUACUUGGCCAAAUAUAAAAAUUACAAGUGAAAAUAAGUAAAAAUAACAUACUAGAAUAAAUAUAAAUAAUUCUUCAUUCUUAAAUAAUAAUUACCUGAACAAAUACUAAACCAUAAAUACUGUGGAUAUGUGGAUAAUCGUAUUACUAUGAAAGUAAUACAAUUAUCUUUUAUCUUAUGUUCAUACAGGAAUAUGUACUUUAAGUAGGUCUAACAUUACAUUUUUUUUCAAUAAUGUAUACAUUUUGUUAGGUAUAACAUUACAUUUUGAAAAUAAGUAUGACUCUACAUAUUAAGAAGUUAAUAUAAGUAUUUCCUAUCAUUCUAUAUUUUGUAAUUACUGAACACUGAAUAACUAAACCUAAAAUGAAUACUAAACCUAAAUGAAUACAACCUAAUCCUUGAAUGUAAAACCCUAAUGGAAAUAUUUACUUUUAUGUAGUCUAACAUAUACAUUUUCUUUUACAAAUGUAUACUUAUGUUUCUAUAAGUAUUUCCUGUCAUUCUAUAUUUUGUAAUUACCUGAACACUGAAUACUAAACCCUAAAUAGUGAAUACUAAACCCUAAACCUUGAAUACUAAACCUAAAUAAUGAAUAUAAACCCUAACCCUUGAAUGCUAAACCCUAACGAAAUAUUUAUUUUAUUUAGCUAGUAUAUACAUUUCUUUGUAAAAGUAUACUUAUGUUUCUAUAAGAUUUCUGUCAUUCUAUAUUUUGUAAUUACCUAAACACUGAAUACUAAACCCUAAACUGAAUAUAACCCUAGUAUUAAUAUAAACCCUAUCAUUCAAUAAUAAAUUCAAAUGACAAUAUUUACUUUUAUUUUAUCUAAGAUAUACAUUUCCAUGCUUAAAUGUAUACUUAUUAACCAUCAUUCAAUAUUUUGUAAACCCUAAACACUGAAUACUAAACCCUAAUCAUUCAAUAAUAAACUCAAAUGGCAAUAUUUACUUUUAUUUUAUCUAAGAUAUACAUUUUCAUGCAUAAAUGUAUACUUGAAUAUUAGUAUUAACCAUCAUUCAAUAUUUUUUAAACCUAAAUAUGGAAUACUAAACCCUAAAUAGAGAAUACUAAACCUUAAAAGUAGUAUUAUUUUUGCUUACACAAAUAAUUAUUUGAUCAAAUAACUAAAAGUACAAAUUCUCAUAAAUAAAAGUAACAAUUAUCGUGAACAAAUGUAAUUAUUUAGAAACAUUACAUUUAGUUAUUUUACCAAAUAAUUAUUAAUAAUGUAAUAAAAUAAUUAUUGAUAUGUAUAGUUAUUUCAAAUAAUUAGUUAUUAAUAAAAAGUAAAAACAUUGUAAAAAAACAGGAAAAAUAGUAAAAAAAAGAAAAUACAGAAAAAAUAUAUAUAAAAAAUGCAAAUAAAUAAAUAAAUAAAUAAAUAAAUAAAACAGGAGAAGGAAAAAAUGUAAACAGAAAACCAGAAAAACAAAACCCAAAAAGUGUAAAGAAAAAGAAAAGAAAAAAAAGGAAAAAAUAGGCAAAAAUGGAGACUGAAAAACAAAACCCAAAAAGUAGUAAAGAAAAAAAAGUAAAAAAUCGCAAAAAACAGAGAUAAGAGAAUUCGAACUUGGUACCUCUUUAUGAAGAAGCACUAUUAGACUAUCACCACCACACCAGCGCACAAUUAUGACUAUCAUCUCUCAAAAUAUAUAUAUAGACGUUUAAUACGCGGGUGACCGCAUAGUAUGGGCCACCCGCACACAAGUUUUGCGUAAAAAGAUAGAGCUAGAAAAAAAUAAGAGAGAGAAGAUGGAUUUCGUUCCAUAUAAUUUUUCUUUGCUAGAAUCAUAUUUUACUUUAAUUUAUAAGAUCUUAAGAAAAUAUAAUGAAACUCAUAUUUUUUUGAUAAAUUACAGUAUUAAAUAAANAAAUUAAAGGCCGCACUACAGGGGACUUGAACUCAAGACCUUUGACCUUGAACAUUAAUGCUAAAGCAUGCGCCUCGCAUGGUCGAGGGCAUAAUAUUAAAUUUGCUCCCGAGUGAGAGACUUCUCCGCUCUUUCGGUGAUUUCUUUGGCGGUAGCCAUUCCUCUGACACGGGCCACUUCUCUGGCGGAUGUGGUUUCUCUGACAGAGGCCAUUUCUCUGGCGACACCCCGUUCCUCUGGCAAGAUCUAUUCCUCUGGCGAGAUCCGUUCCUCCGAUAAAACUCAUUCCUCUGUUCUGCACAUAUUACUCCUCAUCAACUACUCCCCCCUCUGGUCUGACUAGUUCGCUCUAGAGCAGAGUAAUCUAGUCAGAGUAAUCACCCACGUGGCUGACGUCAUUCGCAUUAACUGCCCGUAAUUUCACAGUGUACUUUCCCGUAUUUCGAGGUUACUUUUUAACCUUCGCGUCUUUUCGUCUCUCCGUAGGAAUUCUUGACCGUUGAUUAUUUCCCUGAUGCCACGUGUCACUCAUCCCGCGUGUUGGUAGUUGCCCGCGUACGUUACACUUAGGCGGUUCAAAUUUUUACUCUCCACUAUUCACCUUCUCCAAUUUUCUCUGAACCCUUUCGACUGCGAUUUCCGGCGAUUCCCCGAUCUCAGUUCCGGCGUAUAUCUCACAACCUUUCCGUUCCAAUCUUUACCGUCGAUCUUUCUUUGACUUAGGUAACUCGCGUAUCCUCCUCUCCCGAUAUUUGUGUUUAGUGUAGAGUGAUUUUGAGAAUUGUUGGUGCUCUGAUUGAGCGUGGAACCUUAGUUUUUCUUCUCUCUUUUUAAGUUUUUAUGAUCAUGGCCUCUACCUCCAUCGCCCAGCCUGACUUCUCCCCUUCCCCUUCUCCCUCUCCGCUAGCUUCUCCGACUAACUCUCCCACUCCUUCCAACCCUAGCCUAUCUCAAUAUUCCCCAGCAUCGUCUGAGCCUCCUCCUUCCGCUCCCAAAUCACCCAAGACCAUUCCUCCAUCUCGCUUAGGCAUUACGGAGAUGCAGAGGAUGUUUGACAGGUGCCAAUGUCCGGAAGGCUUGACUUUUGAGCCUUAUUCCAAGGCCUCCGAUCCCUUCACUAAACUGCACAUGAAUAAAAUCCCCCUCUUCCGUGCCCAAGUGGACGCCGGUUUGAGGCUUCCCCCUCCUGCCCUCUUAGUACAAGUCUGCAAUCACUUCCGCAUCCCCUUCUUCCAGGUGGCCCCCUCCGCUCUCCGGAGGUUAUUCGCUUUCCACAUCCUUUGCACAGCCCAUGGUGUUCAAGACACCGCUACCCUAUUUCUCCAAACCCAAACCCUGAGGUGGCAGGGCCACCCUUUAUACAGUUUUGCCGCCCGCAAAACCUAUCCCACCACCUUCCUUAACUCCCUCAACUCUCACGACAAAGGCUUCAUAGCCUUUUAUUGCUUUGUAAAAACCAACCGGGGUUCCUGGCGUCAAUUUGAUGCUCAGGAACUGCUAUGGCAUAAGUCUCGUACUAGCUAUAAGCCUCAUGCCCUGGGGAAGCCCACCAAUUUUGACUUAGGUGUAAUAGGCUUCCUCAACACCCUGAAUAGAGAUGAUCAUCUUCCCUGUAAGGAGUUGGCUGAGAGUAACUCUGCCUUAGCUGCCACCGGCUUGUUUCCACUGUUUCCCCGCCGCUCUAUAGGUAAAAUUAGGUGUUAGUAAAUAUGCAUAAAUUAUUUAUUACCUUGCCUUGGUUGAUAAAUUUUUAUUUGUUUGCAGGGAUGUCGUGGAGAAACAAGUGCAGAGCCGAUCUCGCGUCUGCCCGUCCCUCUGGCGAGGAGGGACAAGGCUCUGGGCAGCCCGUGGACCCCGGGGUGGAUGUUUUCCAGCUGAUACCUGUUGCCCCCGAGGAGACUACUCCUGUGCAGAACUUUCCCCCAGGCAAGGGGAAGGACAUGGAGGUGCUGACCAUGUUUAGCCCGGACCGCCAGAGGGCAGGGGGUUCUGGCUCUGGCCAGACCAGAGAGAAAUUCACCAUUCCAGUGGUGGAUGUUGAGGACGAUGCGCCCCUCUCCCAAGUACUCCACAACAUCCCCACUCCCGAUUCCCGUUUAGUCCAAAGGAAAAGAAAGGCUGCUACGCUGGCCCUUGUAGAGAAGCGGCGCAAGGAAAGCCUGCAGAAGGGCAGCAAGUUUGUGGACCCCGAGGCUGGGUCAGCAGGUGAAGCGGAGGCGAUCUCCGUGGAUGCUGAAGGGGGCAAGGCACUAGCCUUGCCCGCAGGGGAGUCGGAGGCCUUAGGCUCCAGGCCGAUCUCGUCCCUAAAAGGGCGUGAUUUUGUCCGCACCCUGCUCUCCCACAUCCAUCCCAAGGAUAGGGAGGCCACGCAGAAGAUAAAAAAGGCUGCGUUGGCUAACUCACUCAGCUGCUUGGUGCUUCAGGUGCCCUGCAUUAUUUAACAUGUUCGAAUGAUUUUAUUACUAACCUCUCAAUUUCUCUGCCCUGACAUUUUCCCUUCCUUUCUCUGCAGCUGGAGUCCUAGGUCGGAGAGGUGGUCCAGUGCAUUGAUGACUAUGGUGCACUGGAGAACGAAUUGGAAACGGAGAAGCAGCGGACGACGCAACGUGAUGAGGAGGUUGCUGGUACCGUGGAGCGGUACAGCAAAGCCGAGGCGGACAUAGCCGAGCUGCAGGCUAAACUUGCUCAGGCGGAGGUGGAGAAGGCCUCCUUGGCCUCUGAAUUGGAGAGGGCCAAGAAGGAGAGCUAUGAUAACCUUGCCAAAUUCCGGGUGAGGUAUGAUGAGGAAUACAAGGAGGCCAAGCGUGGCUGGAGGAGGGCCUGUACCGGUGCUCAGAACCGUAGUUACGCUCUUGGGGGCCGGGACCAGCGCCUGGAGUUCUUCCUAUCUCCCCAAGGCCAACAGUUCCUGGGUAUGAUGCUGGAGGGUACUUUGGCGGCCUUCCAGCGGACUCCGGAUUAUCUGGACGGCUUUGGCUCCAUCUUCGCCUAUGUAAUAAAGCAAUCCGCGACAAAGGCGUUGGAGAUGGCGGGCGCGUCCGCGGAGCAGAUCGCGGCUCUGGACAUGGAUGCCUUGAUGGACAACAUCAAGGAUGAGGAUCUGAACCAGCUACUGGGGAUCACAGCAGAGUCCCCGGCGAAGCCCGAGUGGUGGUAUCCGGUUCUGGAGAAGGCCCUUCCCUAUUUUACUUUUGGGGUCGGCUCUGCAUCAGUGCCUGCUGCUCCGGUAUACCGGCCUCCCUUCUGCGCCUCCUUGGUGAGCUUCGUGAACCAGCUACGGGGUCGGGCUGGUGAAAGUUCCCUGGGGUUUUCACAAUUCAGCAUGGAGCCUCCCCUGCCUUCCGGUUUCCAGGCCUCAGCCUUUGAGGAUCCUGCUUCUUCCUCCGCCGCGGUGGAUCAACUCCUUGCCCUGUACCAAGAUGAGACAAAAUAUGUGCAAGAGGCAUUGCAGUUGCUAGACGUGGAAGCACGUCUCCCCAUGGUGAAGGACUCCGGGACGUUGCCGGUACUCGUAGCUUCUGCACCUGUUGUUCCUGCUCCGGUUUUCUCUGCCCCUGCUGCUCCGAUUUCCUCUGUCCCUGCUCCGGAUUCUACUGUCACUGCUCCGGAUUCCGCUGUCCUUGCUCCGGAUUCUGCUGUCCCUGCUCCGGAUUCCGCUGUCCCUGCUCCGGGUUCUGCUGUCCCUGCUUCGGAUUCCGCUGUCCCUGCUCCGGGUUCUGCUGUCCCUGCUCCUCAUUCCUGACUGCCCUGCUGUCCCUUUCUCUGAUCUAAUCAACAUUUUUUGUAAUCUCAGACUUGUAAAUACUUGGCGUUAUUUCGAUCUUGAUGUACAGUUUUUGCCGCUUCGGCGUUUAUGAAUGAAAUUCCUUCGUGAUUUCUGCUUCCUUUUAAUUUCUGUUUUGACUUUGCAUUGAUCUCUUCUCCGCAUCGUUUUACUGUUAUUGCUGAAUUGGUAGUUGUUUCCUUCGUGUGAACUUGUACUUUGAAACUUCAGGAUAUGGUAGUUAUUUCUUCCGUGUGAAGUAGGAUUUUUACUUUUUGUUGAAGUGUUUAUGAUUCCUCUGGUUGGCUUCCCUUUAAAUGAUUCCUCUGAGUGGUUCUUUUGCCUCUGACCGAACUAGUAGCUUCGUUUUGCUGGAAUGUCCGCGAUUUCUCUGACUCUUUCCCUUGAGCGUUUCUCUGACUUCUCCUUUGGAGAUUUCUCUGACUUCCCCUUCGGAGAUUUCUCUGAUUUCUCCUUCGGAGAUUUCUCUGACUUCUCCUUCGGAGAUUUCUCUGACUUUUCCUUUGCUGCUUCCCUUUGAGUCAUCCUUCUGCUGCAUUCCUCAGCUGCUUCCCUUUGAUUCAUCCCUUUGCUGCAUUCCUCUGCUGCAUUCCUUUGAUUCAUCCCUUUGCUGCAUUCCUAUGCUGCUUCCCUCCUCGCUAGCUGGAACACUCUGCGCGGAGCAUGGAAGACCCGGGAGGUGCAACCAACUUUCGCGGCUUACGAUUAAAAAGGACACCCUGCACGGAGCAUGGAGGACCCGGGGGGUGCAACCAACUUUCGCGGCUUAUGAUGCGUCUUCGACUUUUGGGCCAUUUGGCCCUAUUUUUCUCUUUCUUUUGUUUUGUUUGAGUUGUCUAGGGGAGAAAACAGGUAUUCUGGAGGAAGAAGGCUCAGUCAAAGGCAUAUGCACGAAAUGUAGUCAGAAUGGGCAUUACCGGAACAAAACUAUCCAAACUUCCAGAAGUGAAACUUACCAGGAAGAGAGCUCGGCGAAGUACCCCUCAGAACCAUUCGAGGCGCGGGAAUCUCCGAAGUGUACCACCUGGUGUGAGGCUAACCGAAGGAAGUAGUUGGUAAGGCCAUAACAGCAGUCGCAGUCAGCAAGAUGAGCUAUAUAUGAACCAGGAAGAGAGCUCGACGAAGUACCCCUCAGAACCAUUCGAGGCACGGGAACGUUCGAAGUGUACCACCUGGUAUAAGGCCAACCGAAGAAAAAAGCUAGUAUGACCAUUCCCGUCAACAGCAGUCAGCAGCUGAAGCUAUAUAUGGAAAGACGUGUGGAGGAGAUUGCCCGAAAGAUUCUGGCGAAUUCUAGCAAUGGAAGGAUCUGGAAUAAUGUGGAAUCAACCCCAAAUCCGCUGGAGAUCCAUUAUCUAUCAAAUCAAAUCAAGGAUCAAGCUAAAUAUGGAAGGAAAUAAUCUGCCAGAUUUGGUCUGCCGGCUAGGGUUUACCGAAUUGCUAUAUAAACUUCAGCAUGUGUGGCUGGCAGAGGGUAGUUUUAGAGGAGAGGGAUCCACGAGUUUUUCAUUACUUGCAUAGUAGUUUUAGUAUUCUUCUAGGCUUAGACUUUUGUUAGUUCACCAAGAAAACAAUUUACUUUUAGUUCUUUUAUAUUUUUCGCACCAAACAAUUUAGUUGCUUUUCGCAUUUCAAUUCCGUUGUGACGAACAAAGCCAAGGUUGUUGCCUUAGGUAUUUUUAUAUCAAGUAUUUCAAAUUUCCUUUCAUUCAUGUGUUCAUUCUAUUUCGCAUUUACGUUUUUUCAAUAUGUGUGAGUAGUCCCCUUGGUGAGGUUUAAGGGGUGGAAAUAAUUGUUGUCAAUAUGUAAACAUUCGUGAGGCAUUUGUUCUUUCGGUUGAGUCUCGUGGUUCCGGAAGGAUCUGUUCGAAAUCAUGGACAGUAGGGGCCUAACGGGUGAUCUCCGUUCGGUAAAAAGCUGUCCGUGUCAAGCAAAGGCCAGGGUAUACCAGGGCGUGACAACCGGUAUACCCAAGACCGAGUAGCUGAGCAGCGUCAACAAAAGGCGUUGUAGAUCCAGAAGGUGGGGAAAGGAUUGAUGGGAUACACUGUCCUUCCUCAGUCUUGGGCUUCUCUAGAGACUAUCCAUCAACUGUGACGAGGCAUAAAGCCAUGGUUAUCAAACGAGGAAAGCAAUCUCGGCGCCGUAGCAUGUCUAUGACUGGUCGGCCGACAAAGCCGGAAAUAGUUGAGUCCAGGAGGCAUGUGUCACUAAAAGUGCGGAGUUGGGGACCUCGGGAGAGAAGGUUGGUGAGGGUCAUACUUGGUGAGUAACGGGUAUGACUACUAUCUAAGGAGGAGUGAAGCACUGCCUUGUGACCGGGGAUUGUGUGACCUUCGGACCAAGUGACUACAAUGGACUCAACCAUCCUAAGUGUGAAGUAUAACCUCUUGAAACGCCCCAAUGUCUUUGGGCCACGCCUUGAGUUUAUACGGAUCAUGGACGGAUCAUCAGUAUGCCUAUGACCGAAAUAAAUAUUGACAAUAGUUAUGACCUAACCGAAAACCUUACCCCUUGUUAUAUUUGUUCUUUGUUUAAGUUUACUUGUGCAGAUAAACAGGUUGAGACCGUGACAACUCAAUUUGUGCACCCGAAGAGUAAAGUAGUUCCUUACUCUCCGUGGGAUCGACCCUAUACUUGCUGCUAAGACUGUUCUUUGGUUGCGAGCAAUAUGAGCGUGUACUGUCCGUCUGGGGCAACACAAAUUAAAUUUGAUACCGCGCGCCGGGCGACGGGCGCGCGUCCCAUCAGCUUACGAUUCAACAGUAACCCUCUGCGCGGAGCAUGGAAGACCCGGGGGGUGCAACCAACUUUCGCGGCUUACGAUUAAGAUGAUUUCUCUGCUCCGCCCUUUUUGCUUUUCCCUUGACUUGCUAAGUAGCAAUUUGAUUUUCGUUUGUCCCUUGUCUUGCUGAGUAGCAAUUUGCUUUGAAUUUGUGAAUUAUGGGUAUAUACCCUACUCCCCCCUCUGGUGAUAUGUGCAAUGCUCUGCAUGAACAUGUUAAGUAAAAGAUGCAACUUGGAAAGCAAUAAAGUAAAGUAAAUGAGUCGACAUCAGGGAAUUCCCUAGAACCACGUAUCCGAUUUUAUUGAUAUCAUGGCCCCGAACCUCGUUAAAACCCCUGUGGGGAAAAAGAGUAUUCGGUCUACAAUUUGUUAUGUCAUUGAAUAACAUUAUACAUAGAACUUUUUCAAGGUGUUGAUGUUCCAUGGUCUGGGGAGAGCUCUGCCGUCUGGAUCCGACAAAGUGUACGCUCCUCCUCCCAGAACCUCGGUGAUGAUGAAGGGACCCUCCCAAUUGGGUUCGAAUUUCCCUACUGGCUUCAAUGCGUCAGCUCUCUUGAGGACUAGGUCACCCUUGGCUAGCUUCCUUGCUCUGAUCCUCUUGUCGUAUCCCGCCUUGAUGAUGCUUUUAUACUUCGCUGCUCUGACUUGAGCCUCAUCCCUCUGUGCUUCCACCAAGUCGAGCUCUGUUCUGCGGAGUUCACAGUUUUGCUCUGUGUUGUAGGUCGUGAUGCGAUGUGACUCCAAUCUGGCCUCUGCUGGUAUGACUGCAUUGGAUCCGUAUACCAGAGUAAAAGGCGCCUCUCCGGUGGCUGUCUUUGGGCUAGUUCGGUAGGCCCAAAGGACAGUAUCCAGCUCCUCGACCCACUUCCCUUUACUCUGAUUUAGCCGCUUCUUGAUUCCCUCGCAGAUUGAUCUGUUUGCCAACUCCACCUGCCCAUUCGCCUGCGGGUGGGCCACAGACACGAAGCGCUGGGUGAUGUCCAUUCGGUCACAAAAAUCAGCAAUCCUCUGCUCGGUGAACUGGGUUCCGUUGUCUGAGACGAUGAUUCUGGGGACUCCAUAUCGGCAGCAGAUGUUUCGCCAGAUAAACUGCUCCACUGUGACCUCGUCGAUCUUUGCAACAGCCUCAGCUUCCACCCACUUCAAAAAGUAGUCCACUGCUACAAUGAGAAAACACUUGCCUCCGGGUGCCGUCGGCAACUUCCCAACGAUGUCUACGCCCCAUUUAUCGAAUGGGCAUGCAGCUUACAUGACCCCCAUGGUUUCUCCUGGGACGUGGAUUCUCCCAGCAUGUCUCUGACAAGCCUCGCAUUUGCGAACGAAUUCUCUGGCGUCCUUGUUGACGUUUGGCCAAUAAAACCCUACCCGAAUGAUGUUUCGUACAAGAUCCCUGAAUCCCGUGUGCGCACCACAGCAACCUGCAUGAAUUUCUUUUAGAGCAAAGUCAGCUUCAUGAGGAGAUAAUCAUUUUAAUAAGGGGUGGGUAAAAGACCGCUUGUAGAGUUGGUCAUUGAUUAAGCAAUAAUUCUCGUAUCGAGCCCUCUGAUUGGAUUCUUUAUUCAGCCGCUCCCCUGUCUUGAGGAAAUGUAUAAUUGGGGCCCGUCAAUCAUCCCGAAUUUCUACUGAGAAAACCUGUGAAGUCCCCAUUUCUCUGGUAUCGCAGAGCAGUGUAAUCUCAUCAUUCCAAGUUUGUUCACUGCGCUGGCCAUUCGCGCUAGUAAAUCUGCCUUUGUAUUUUCUUCCCGGGAAAUCUGUUCGAUUUUGAACUCCAAGAACUUUUGUUUCAUUUCAUUGAUCUUGUAGUGGUAUGCUUUCAUCCGGUGUUCUUUAAUGUGAUAACCCCCUGAGAAUUGUUGAGCUACCAAUUGAGAAUCUGUUAUGAUGAUAACACACUCAGCCCGCAAUUCUGACAAGAUGUGAGCUCCUCUGACCACGGCCUCGUAUUCGGCCUCAUUGUUGGACAUUCGGCAAGUGAAUUUGAUAGCAAACUGAUAUACUCCCGAGCUCGGAGAGACGAUGUACACCCCAAUUCCGCACCCUUCUUUUGUGACUGACCCAUCCACGAAAGCAAUCCAAAAUUCUUGCACCGGGCGACGAGUAGUUUCUUGAAUGAAAUCUGCUAGAGCUUGUGCUUUGAUGGCCAUCCUUGGCUCAUACUCCACAUCAUAUUCCCCUAGUUCCACGGCCCACUUGACCAUUCUCCCUGAUAGAUCCGGUCUCCCUAGCACCUGUCUAAAGGGCAAAGCAGUGCGCACCACAACCCGAUGUGAUAAAAAGUAAGGUCUCAGCUUCCGUGCCGUGACCAUGACUGCCAGAGCAGCCUUCUCAAUCUCUGAAUAGUUCAACUCAGGGCCCUGAAUGAGCCUGCUGACGAAGUAAAUUGGCCUCUGAUGACUCCCCUCUUCCCUGAUAAGCACUGAGCUGACUGACUCCUCUCCCACCGCUAUGUAUAAGUACAAUGUUUCUCCCGGGACUGGUUUGGUCAGAGUUGGGAGCUCCGCCAAGUAAGCCUUGAGAUCUUCAAAAGCUGUUCGGCAUUCCGCCGUCCACUGAAAUUUAGUUCCCUUCCUUAGGAUUUUGAAAAAUGGUAAACUCCGUUCCGCUGAUCGUGAGAUGAACCUGCUCAGAGCAGUGAUUCACCCGUUCAGAGUCUGUACUUCCCUGAUUCCUCUGGGUGGUGUCAUAUCCAUGAUGGCUUUUGACCUUAUCUGUGUUGACUUCGAUUCCCGCGGGAGUGACUUUGUAUCCCAGGAAUUUUCCCGUAGUGACCCCGAAGGUACAUUUCGCUGGAUUGAGCAUGAGCCGAUGCUUUCUAACGACUGUGAAUAUCUCUUCCAAGUCAGAGACAUGAUCUUCCACCCUGACACUGNAAAGUUGUUCGACAUUCCGCCGUCCACUAAAAUUUAGUCCCCUUCCUUAAGAUUUUGAAAAAUGGUAAACUCCGUUCCGCUGACCGUGAGAUGAACCUGCUCAGAGCAGUGAUUCACCCGUUCAGAGUCUGUACUUCCCUGAUUCCUCUGGGUGGUGUCAUAUCCAUGAUGGCUUUGACCUUAUCUGUGUUGACUUCGAUUCCCGCGGGAGUAACUUUGUAUCCCAGGAAUUUUCCCGUAGUGACCCCGAAGGUACAUUUCGCUGGGUUAAGCAUGAGCCGGUGAUUCCUGAUCACCGUAAAAACCUCUUCUAGGUCAGAGACAUGGUCCUCCGCUUUGACGCUGCGCACGAGCAUAUCAUCAACAUAUACCGAUAUGUUUUUGGAGAGUUGUUCCUUGAAAAUUUUGUCCAUCAUCCGUUGGUACGUUGCCCCCACAUUUUUCAAGCCGAACUGUAUUAGUUGUAAACACCACACAGCAAAGGCAAAAGCUGUUUUAGCAAUGUCCCCUUUGUUCAUUUUCACCUGGUGAUAUCCCUGGUACGCAUCCAUCAUGGAUAAUAACGCACAACCCGAUGUAGAAUCUACAAGCUGGUCAAUCCUCGGUAGAGGAUAGUGGUCCUUGGGGUAGGCUGCGUUGAGAUCCCUGUAAUCUACACACAUACGCCAGGUAUUUGUUUUCUUUUCCACCAUCACGCAUUCGAUAUCCAUUCUGGAUACUGUACUUCUUCGAUAUGGCCGCAUCCAGCAGCCCUUGGACUUGUUCCCUGAUCGGGCAUCUUUCUCAGCACCGAAAGCCUUGUUCUUUGCUUCACUGGUUUGAUCUUAGGAUCCACGUUGGCAAUGUUCCGCCAACCUCUGUCUAUUCCCUUCAGAUCGGCCGUGCUGAAGGCAAAUAUGUCGAUUUCUGCGGAGGCAUCUGACCAGCUCCUCUCUGACUUGGUCGUUAUGGAAGACCCAAUCUUGGUCUGAAACCUUCCCCCCAGGAAAUAAUUCUAUCAUGUUACAUACAUCGCUGGUAGAGACCAGGGCGGCCUUAUCUGUACUAUCCCGAUCCUCUAACAAUUCCGCCAACUCCUGUCGCUCCUCUACCGGAGCAGUGAUUUCGCCCACCUUUCCCUUUUUCCGGGUAUCCGGCCCUUCUGUUAUUCUUUCCCUUUUCUGCCCUGAAGAGUGUGUAAGCAUCUGCACAUGGCAUGCUUUCGACAUUUUCUGGUCGCCCCAUACUUCUCCCACUCUUCCCCUCCGAUGGGGAAUUUCAUUUUUAGAUGGAACAUGGAAAUGAUUGCUCUGAACAUCAUUAAGGCAGGACGGCCAAGUAUCACAUUGUAGGAUGGUUUCGGCAUGUCCACUACCAGGAAUCGUAUUACCCUGGUCUUGCUGGCAUCCGCAUUGCCAAGACUUAACGACAACUCCACAAAACCUAUUGGCAUAACCAUUUCUCCCCCAAACCCGAAUAAGGGGCUUUGUUGGUUCAAUAUGGGCUUCGACUCCCAUGUUCUGGAGGCACUCUAGAUAUAAAAUAUUCACUCACUGCCCGAGUCUACGAAGACGAUGAACAAUGAACCGGCUAUGUCUGCCGUGAUAACCAGCGCAUCGUCAUGCGAUACAUAAGCGUUCUCAGGUCCUCUGCCCCGAAGCUGAUGACCGGUUCCUCCGCCGCGCCCGUAAUCUCCAUCACUUGCUUGGAAUAAUACCCUGAUUUCGCUGCUCGUACAACUGUUUCUUGGCCCUGUUGGAUGUGGGUGUCCCAUUUUCCCCAAAGAUCAUGUGUACUUCUCUUCGGUACGGGAAGGGAGGUACCCACCCUCUGCUCCUCCUCUCCGGUUAUCCCGAUUUUCCUCUGGCCUUCGGUCCCGGUUAUUCCCCUGGUCCUGUCGGGGCUCAUUUCUCUGCUCUGGCCUCGGACCCUGGCCCUAUUCCCCCGGGCUAUGAACUGAUCCAGAUUUCCCUGGCGUACCAAAAGCUCCAGUUGAUGCUUAAGGUGUCCACAGUGCUUAGUGAAGUGUCCAUAAGAAUUGUGGUACUCGCACAAUUUGUUAUUAGGGCCCUGCUGUGGCUGCCCAUCCCUGUAAGUCCCCGGCGCUCUAAAGAACGGCUGAUUUUUGAUCAGGUGAAAGAUCUCUUCUUGCGGUUUGUUCAAUGGGGUAUACUCGUCAAAACGGUUGACCUCAUUCACAGUGCGCUGUUGGCGCGGUGGUCCCUCUGCUUGGGGAGGAGGUACCCUUAGAGGCAAUCCUCUGAAGGGCGCCCGGUCUUGGUGCCUGUUGUUCCGCUCUGGUGCUUCCUCGGCCCUCUUGGCCUUAUGCUUGUCAUUUUCAGCUUUUCGUGCCAUCCUGGCAUCCUCCAACUGCAAAUAUCCCGGCAGUCUAGCCAUGAUAUCGUCAAAAUCCCUUGCCGGUCUGAUUUGUAACUCAUCAAAGAAAAGUCCCGGUUUUAACCCUCUAACAUAAGCACAGUUUUUAAUCUGUGACUCCGCCUCUGGCACUUCCAGAGCAGCGAGGUUGAACCUGACAGUAUACUCCCGUAAUGUUUCAUUUUGAUCUUGCUUUAUGUCCAUCAAAGAAAGAGCUGACUUUCCAACCCUCCGCGAGCUCGCGAACUGCCUUAAGAAACGCGUCUGUAAAUCCUCAAAAGAGUGAAUAGUAUUUGGGGCGAGUGUCCCAAACCACAGCUGGGCAGGUCCAGUUAAUGUGGUGGAAAAUAUUCGGCAUUUGAUGCCCUCCGAGUACAUGUGAAGAGUGACCAAUCCCUCAAACCGGUUGAGGUGUACCUCUGGGUCGGUGGUACCAUCGUAAUCCAAAGAGAUAGGUUUGUAACUCCUUGGCAGAGUAUCCGCUAAAAUGUCCGCGGAAAAGGGGCUCCGGCUGACAGUAGUGGGAACCUUCGACGUUCUGGCCCGCUUAUCGUCCUUGUUCCUUCCAUGCUCCCUUCUGUCCUUUGGUGAGUCAUGAGCGUGGCGCUUGUGGACCCUGUGGUCUUGCCUCCCAGAGGAGUACUCCUGGUCCCGUCCCUCUGGCCUUCGGGUUUGAAGCGACUUCUCUGACCGGUGCGACUUCUCUGACCGGUGCGAUCUCUCUGACCUCUGUACCCUGUCAUCCCUCUGAGAUUUCUCCCUCAAACUGUCCUCCAGAUUUCUGAGUUGAUGUUUCAGCUGUGACACUUGAUUCUUCAGUUUUGCGGUCUCCCUUGGUCUUUCUUCCUCAAACAUAGGAGUGAUAGAGUGGCUGUCGGAUUCGUCGACCCCUUCCCUUCUGACGAUGCUAUUGAGCCUGACUCGGCUCCCCUCUGGCCUUCUCUCCAGUUCCCUCUCAGCGGGGCCCUUUGGUGUUUCCUUAGGCAGCAUAGCCUGCUUGUUGACGAGUGGAUCGUUCACCUCCAGAGCAGCGGGAGGCGGGGCUUCAGCGCCCUGUGGGUUGAUCAUACCUAUUGGGGGAGUUGUAGCGGAAACGGUGGACAACAGGGGAGUCCCCAUCGCCUGUCGCACAACAGCGUAGUUGAGCAGAGCCAUCAUCUGCUCUGUCAACACGAAGUUCAGUGGUACACCACCAGAUGUGGGGACCAAGCUUGGCAUGUCGGAACCCGGGGUCACCAGAGCAGAUCUCUGGAUAGUACAUUCUGAGCUGUCAGCGGGGUAGCGGAGAUGUUAUGAAAGCCCGGCGGUGUGGUGAAGACGGUGCUGGCCGGCAAACCGUUAAACAGCGAGGUAGGGACCUCAGUGGUAUGAGCAGCGGAGCUAAGGACACCGUUGUCAAACUCCUUCUCAAGAGUGCGGUGAGCAUCUGAAGAACCCAUAGUACCUACACAGGGAAAAUGUGAGAAAAUAUUUCGAGAAAAAGAAACAGAUCAGACCGUCCGCUAUCAGAGAAACACAAAAUGUAGAAUGCCCCGAUCACUGGCACGAAGGCCAUAAGGAGAUCCCUUGAGAAACACCCCCGUGCACUGGGAAAUAAACCCAGGACACGGUUUAAAACGUGAGCAAAGAGAACGAUGGAUAUUUUCCAUAGAUUCAGAGUCAAACUCGUGAGAGAGAGCGUAUUAUCCGGCAAAAUAACCGUGAAGACCCAAAAAACAUAAAAACAGAGCACCAAUCAACAGAUCGUUAGCGAAAUACGUUAGAUUCGUAACAAAAACAUGAAUUAUGCGAGAAAACACUAUAACCACGCACAAUUAUCACGACUACGUAAAAUAAUCACAAAUUAACACCCGAUCCUCAACUUCGCCACCUUCCCGACAUGCAAAAGUAAGGAAAAACGUGAAAAAUCACAGAUCUUAAAGAUUUGUAGAUAGAUCAACAUGAACAACACAAUUAUCAGUCCAAAUUCGCUUGGGUAUCUAGAUUAUUGGCUCAAUUGGGGCCUGCACACGCAAACUCGGUUGUAAUUACGGAUCUGCAUGCGCAGGCGGUUGAAACUCACGUCCUAGCCCAGUUAGGGGUGAGCAUUCGGGCGGGUUGGGUUGAAACCGAACCGAAAUACCCAACCCGAAACCCAAACCGCCUAAAAAAUUUCGAACCAAAUCAAACCGUUUGACUGGUCAAAACCGAACCAAACCGAACCGUAAAUUUUCGGUUCGGUUUGGUUCGAUUUGGCCAAAACCGCUUUUUUUUAAAAAGAAAAAAAAGCUAUAAGCAAAAAUUAAAGUACUAUGAAUAAGCAAAAAUUACCACAUCUAGAUAAAUCCAUUUACUUCUACAAUAAAGAGUUUGUAAAAAUUAAAGAACAAGCACAGAAUAAAAAUCUUAUGUACUUUUGAAUUUAAUGUAAAGUGUAAAAUUCUAAAUUUAAUUUUUACAUAUUUAUUAAUUAAUUAUUUAAAAAUAAAUACUCCCUCCGUCCCAAUAAAAGUGGCCACAUUUCCUUUUUGGGUGUCCCAUUAAAAGUGGCUACUUUCUAAAAAUGGCAAAAGAUUACUUUAAUUAAGUCAACAAUUAUUCACUAAUUUGGUCAACAAUUGUAGGCCACUUUCUAAAAAUGCCAAAAUUACUCACUAAUUUGGUCAACAAUUGUAGGUCACUUUCAAAAAAUUACUCACUAAUUUUGGUGGGUCACACUCAAUUAAAGCAUAACAAUCCCCUUCUUAAUCUUCGUGCCAAAAAAAAGUGGCCACUUUUAUUGGGACGGGGGGAGUAUUUAUUAAUUAUAUUUAAAUCGGGCGGGUUCGGUUUAUAAACCAAACUGUUUUUCUCAAACCGAACCCGAACCGUUUUCCACAAAACCUAUUGGUAUAUUAUUGUUGGAUUUCGAAUUAUACCUAGUGUUGUUUGGAAAAACGAGAGAGAAAAGCAAAGUUGAGAGCACGAUAAUCCGGUUGCUGUUGUAUUGCCAGUGAAGUAAGCGUGUAUUACAAAGGGUGUAUGCAUGGCUAUUUAUAGAUUACAAGCUAAGGGCAAAAUAGUAAAUUCAGUGCUAAAACAUGCGCCUCACAUGGUCGAGGGCAUAAUAGCAAAUUUGCUCCCAAGCGAGAGACUUCUCCGCUCUUUUGAUGAUUUCUCUGGCGGAGGCCACUCCUCUGACACGGGCCACUUCUCUGGCGAGUGUGGCUUCUCUGACAGAGGUCUUUUCUCUGGUAAGGUCCGUUCCUCUGAUAAAGUUCAUCCCCUUGCUCUGCAUAUAUUACUCCUCAUCACUCAUGAUAAAAUUUAAUAUAAUAUCAGUGUGGGAAUAAUGAAUGACCUUUUAUUUAGGUAAUAAAUUGCUAAAAUUUAAUAUAUUUUCAAUAUGAAAUAAAAGAUUUAAAAUAAUAAAAAGUAGUGAAUAAAGAAGAUACCACUUAAAAUUGAGGACGGAUAUGGUGUCUUCAACGGGGGUGUUCGGUUUAUAGGAUAAGAUAGGAUUAGUUAUGUAAUAUUAUGUUUGGUUGAAUAAAUAGGGCCCGAAACUUAAUCUCGAGAUUAUGCCACAUAGAAUUAGUCAUGACUUUAUGAGUCUUAGCCUAUCCCGUAUGAUAAAAAUAAUUUCGAGCCAAUUCAAUUUUAACUAAUUUUAGGAUAAUUUAAUAUGGAGCAACCGAACACAUGUAUUUUUUUGUAUUUUUUUAUAUAACUAAUAGAUUCCAUGUGCCAACGGCGGGAAUAAAAUAGUUGCCGCGUGAUAUAAAUAAUGAAAGCCGUUUACUUGAGAGUUGACCCUCAAUUUCAAAAUUCCCUUCCUACCGCGACCAGAGUAAUAAUCUCAUCUGAUUCUUCUUCUAAUUUCCAAUUUUGAGUGAGAAUUACAUGCAAAUUAAUGCACCGUUUUUUAAUUCUCUGCUUCCUCUUCACUGAUACAGCUGCUGCUGCUGCUGAUCACAUUUCUAUCAACUGCGGCGGCGGAGCUACAGCUGUCAGUGGCAUAAAAUGGGGCGGAGACUCAGACGCUACACCGAAAGGCUCAUCAAAGGCAUCAACUGCCAAGGGAGAGCUGAUCACAGCCGUCGAUCCAGUUCCCUACAGCACUGCACGCAUCUCCCGCUCCCAAUUUUCCUACUCCUUUCACCUCACUCCAGGUCAGAAAUAUAUCCGCCUUCACUUCAAUCCUGUCUACUACCGUGGUUUUGAAAGCUUCCACGAUCUCUUCUCCGUCGAAGCUGCUCCUUUCACGCUACUUGCUAAUUUCAGUGCUUCCCUAACUGCUCGUGCUCUUUCUCUCAAUGUUAUUGCCAAAGAAUUCUGCUUAAUCAUACAAGAAAAUCAACCCCUACACAUAGUCUUCUCUCCGGAAACUCGGUUUAAUUAUGCUUUCGUUAAUGGGAUCGAGAUUAUAUCACUGCCUUCCACCAGUUCUUACUGUCAUGGUGGAGAUAGUAAAGUUCACGUGCUUGAGCAAAACUACACGUUCCAUGUUCAAAACACCACUGCACUUGAAAUUGUUCAUCGCCAAGAUACAAAAUGGGGUUCUGUCUCGUCGUCGUCGGAGAGCAUAUUUGGGAUGAGGGCAUCAACUCUUGAACAAAAUGCAAACAAGGUUUAUAAUAGGAGCUGGCGAGUGUCUGUUGAUGUGGGAUUCGGGUAUAUGGUCAGGGUUCACUUGUGUGAGCUAGGAAUCAUACACAAGGAUUUUAUGCUUCUCAUUAAUAACAUGGCUGCCUUGAGUGCUGAUAUGCUCCCACAAAGGGGAAAUCAAAGCAUUCUCUGGUAUAAAAACUAUAUGGUGAUGGUGGAAGGUCACAAAAGAGAGGGUGAGCGUGUAAUCACUAUUUCUCUUCUCUCUCAACAUGAAUUCUUGGACAGACACGGCCCAUUUGAAGGAUUUGAAGUAUUCAAGUUAAGCAACCCUGAUGGCAGUCUUGCCAGUCCCAAUUCUCUUCCUCCAACUGGAGAUUCACCACCACUAACUCUACUACACUCUCUACUUGGUCCCACAAAUAUUAUUGCAACUGUUGUGUUUACUUUGAUUUGUCUGAUAAAUAUACUUGUCCAUUUGCUCUGUGAAAUGCGGAGAGCGGACUUAACUGAGGAGGAAGACAAGCCAUCGGCCAGGGCAAAGCGACUCUGCCGUCGCUUUACACUAGCUGAGAUCCAAUCAGCCACAGACAACUUCUACGGUGCUAAUUUCAUAGGAAGAGGUGGAUUUGGUAGAGUCUACAAAGGNNNNNNNNNNNNNNNNNNNNNNNNNNNNNNNNNNNNNNNNNNNNNNNNNNNNNNNNNNNNNNNNNNNNNNNNNNNNNNNNNNNNNNNNNNNNNNNNNNNNNNNNNNNNNNNNNNNNNNNNNNNNNNNNNNNNNNNNNNNNNNNNNNNNNNNNNNNNNNNNNNNNNNNNNNNNNNNNNNNNNNNNNNNNNNNNNNNNNNNNNNNNNNNNNNNNNNNNNNNNNNNNNNNNNNNNNNNNNNNNNNNNNNNNNNNNNNNNNNNNNNNNNNNNNNNNNNNNNNNNNNNNNNNNNNNNNNNNNNNNNNNNNNNNNCGUGGUGUUGUUGGAAGUUUUGUGUGGGAGACCAGCUGUGGAGCCAUGGAAUGAAGAAGAUAAGCGUAGUCUGACUAUUGGGCAAUAGAUAACAUUAGUAGGGAAAAGUUGAUGAUAUUGUAUCUCAAAGUCUGAAGGGGGAAAUAUCACCAGAUAGCCUGAAGACAUUUGUAAAGGUUGUGGAAAGAUGCCUGCAUGAUGAACCAAAAAAACGGCCUGCAAUAGCACACAUUGUUAUGAAACUUGAGCUUGCACUUCAGCAGCAGGAGAAGGUAGAAUCUCUGGAUCCAAAUGAGAGGACUAGUGUUGAGAAUUUGUUUUCAUCUACUGAUAAAUAUCAGAAGAAGGACAUGAAUCUUAUGGUACCAGAUGAGAAAAUAAAUGUUGACAAUGAUGUGAGUCCCAAUUCGGAAGGGCAGUUGUUACCCCAACCCAGUUUAAGGGUUUUCACCUUUGCGGAACUAAGGGUUGCCACAAGGAAGUUCAGAAGUGAUUUUGUGCUGGGUGAAGGAGCUUUUGGAAAGGUUUACAAGGGCUGGCUCAAUGAGAAAUCCUCUGGUAAAGCUGGAAGUAGAACCCCCAUUGCUGUUAAGAAGUUGAGUUCUGAAAGUAUGUGGGGAUUUGAAGAGUGGCAGGUAAUUCAGUUGUAUAUCACUUUGCAAUGGAUUUUGAGUUGUUGGUUUUAACCUAUACUUAGCUUAGAAACACCGUUUUACUAUUCCCCCCUAAAAGGCAAUUUUACUUUUACCACUGUUGUUAUUUAGUCAGCUCUUUAGUUCUACCUGUACAAUGUUUUGUGGUGACACUAACGUGUGACAGACUGAGAAAUUUUUGUUUUUAAAUGCUGUAUAUGCCUUUGGAUGAUGUUAUGCUUUUUAGACUUUGUUUGAAAAACUGAGUCCCGAGUAACUUAAUUUAUAUGGUUUGUGUUUGAAAGAAGAAAGGUUUUGUGAUUCUACUUUCACCUUUUUCCAUUAUGUGGGCAAAUAGGGUGAUUGAAUAUUCUAAAUCUUUUGUACCUGAGCAGUCUGAGGUGCACUUCCUUGGAAGACUUUCUCAUCCUAAUCUGGUGAAGCUGUUGGGGUAUUGUUUUGAGGAGACAAAGCUACUUCUUGUCUAUGAAUUCAUGUCCAGAGGCAGCUUAGAGAACCAUCUGUUUGGGAGUAAGGGAUUAAAUUGCUAUCUAAACCAACUAUAUUAUAUAUUAUUUUACAUUUCUCUUGCAAUGCAGUUUACUUGUUUUCUUGGUUAGGGGGCACGUCUAUUCAGCCGCUUCCAUGGGACAUUAGGCUGAAGAUAUUGAUUGGAGCAGCUCGUGCUGUGACGUUCCUGCACGCAUCAGAUAGAAAAAUUAUCUAUAGGGACUUCAAGAUCUCAAGCUUCUGCUCUAGUGCUGUUCAAGUAUCAACCAUCUCAUUUUGGAACUUUAGCUUGCAUUUUUAGAUUUCUACCUAAUUUUGUUCAGAUCAGAGAAUUACCUCUUACAGUAAUGACUAAUGAAAUUGGCUUCAUCUGUGCUUUCCCCCAAAAUAAUAGUUUAUUCAAAUGGAUAAUGCAUAGGCACAUGAGUGGAUGCCUAUAUUUAAUUAACCUUAGUGAUUCAUCUGCAGUCAUACCAAGCCAAGCUAUCCGACUUCGGGAUCGCAAGUUUGGGUCCAACAGAUGGUGAUUCCCACGUGACAACACUGGUUAUGGGAACAUAUGGUUAUGCUGCUCCGGAAUAUAUUGCCACAGGUAAAUAUGUCCAACUCGCACAUCGUUACAAAGAUUGUAGUCAUACAUAUUGAAAUGAGUUGGUUAGUAUUGCAGGGCACUUGUAUGUGAAGAGCGAUGUGUAUGGGUUUGGUAGGAAUUCUGACAGGGCUGCACGCACACGACACCGAUCGUCCUUCUGGACAACACAGUCUGGGAGAUUGGAUCAAGCCACAUUUAUCAGAUUGGAGGAAGUUGAGGUACAUUAAUAUCCUACUAAAUCAGCAAUACAGGUAGCUCAUCUCGCUUUAAGUUGCCUUGAACGUGAACCCAAAAACAGACCCUCAAUGCAGGAGAUAGUGCACAAACUGGAAAGAAUCGCUUCUUCUAACAAGAGAGCCUAGAGUAUACUUUGGUCACUAGGCAGUUAAUUGGUCUGUGUUGGAAGUUGUUAAUAGAGUGCAGAGUUUGAAACAUAAACCGUACCAACUUGUUGUUUGAGUCCAUCCUCAUUAUCUUUUCUUUCUACAAAGUUUCUAUUUUAGCUCUAUCUCCUUUUACCAGAUUCCAAGUUCCAUGUAUUUUUAAUUUCCAGCGUAAAUUUCAAAUCAUGUAUGAAAAGUAAGAUGCAUGAUUCUUGAACAUAUUAAUAAUUGAAUAGUACAAAUCCUAUUGUUGUGGCCAGAAAACAGCAGAUAAAAAAGUGGUGAAAAGCAUAUAAAGGUGAGUUNNNNNNNNNNNNNNNNNNNNNNNNNNNNNNNNNNNNNNNNNNNNNNNNNNNNNNNNNNNNNNNNNNNNNNNNGGUCGUGCAAUAGAUUAUCUUCAUACGGGCCAUGGGAUCAUACAUCGAGAUGUAAAGUCUUCAAACAUUCUGCUUGAUGAGAAGUUUGUGGCUAAAGUUCAGAUUUUGGCUUAGCAAAAACUGGAUUUGGCAGCGACUACUCAAAGCCAACAAAGCACACUAGUUAAAGGCACACGUGGAUAUUUGGACCCCAAUUAUUGUGAAACUCAUAAACCACAAAAAAUAGCGACACAUAGUUCUUUUGGGGUGGUGUUGUUGGAAGUGUUGUGUGGGAGACGAGCACUGGAGCAAUAUGAUGAAGAAGUAAAUGCCGUCUGACUACGUGGGCCAUAGAUAAUAUUAGUAAGGGACAGGUUGCUCAUAUUGUACUUCCAAGUCUAAUAAGGGAAAUAUCACCAGAUAGUCUGGAGACGUUUGUGCGGGUUGCCAAAAGAUGCCUGCAUGAUCAACCAAAAAAACGGCCAGCAAUAGCGCACAUUGUGAUGAAACUUGAGCUUGCACUUCAGCAGCAGGACAAGGCAGAAUCUCUGGAUCCAAAUGAGAGGACUGGCGUUGAAAAUUUGUUUUCAUCAACCGAUAAAUAUCAGAAUGACAACAUGAAAUUUUCAUUGCACCAAAUGAGAAAAUAAAUAUUGUCUUGCCUCAGAAGGAGAAUGCAACAUCCUCGGCUCCCUACGAGAUAAGAAAUGUUACUGAUGUCAUGCCACGUUCUGAUAAUGAUAGAACUAUCUUAUCAAGUAGCCUGAAACCAACGGCGUCUUCCUCUAAUGGGAAAACUGUUUCAUUUCUCCCAAGUCAACAAAUUAACAGCACGAUGAUCAAAUCUGGAAAACAAGGUGGAAGAAAAUCCAUGAUGCUUCGGAUAUCACAAAAAAUUUGGCCGUGGGAUGCAUUUUGGAAGACCAGGAAACCCUCAAAAAACAAAAGGGAUUUUUUUGGCACCUCAGUAUCAGGUAUGUUUUGGCUGCUAAAAGUAAAUUCUGUACCGGUUCACAUUAGUCUACGUGUAGAUAGCACAGCACCUGCAAACUUAGCAAUUGGCAUUAGUGGCUGAAUCUUGAUAAGGAUUUAAUACUGGUUAUUAUGCUACAUGAAUGAGUAUCCAGCCAAUAGGUAGUAUAGCUAGACACGUUUAAAUGAGGCAAACUUCAUCUAACACACUUAGCAGAUAGUAAUUCUGAUAUGAAGAGUUUUCAUCUUAGUUAUGACCAUUACAAUUUCUUUUAAUUUGUACAUAUGGUCUUUUAUGUAUUUUUCAAGUUUGUCAAUAGAGCUUCGACUUUAUUGAUAGCUAAUCAAGGAAUAGAUUUAAUGUACUUAAUUCAUAUUUUGGUAACUUGAUGGAUGGUUUUUAAUUUGUUCCAGUUAUACUAUCCAUAUUUGAAGUGAUAGAAGAAUGUGAAAGGAUGGACUUGUUCAUUGAUAUAACUGGAUUGUUUACCAUGCAUUUUUCUCACUAUAAGUUUUGCAGCACCAAUAUCACAUGGGACCAGCAGCAUUCCAAUGGAUGACAAUACUGAGAGAACUGAUGGGAUGAUUUUGACUCCAGCAACGGUGUCAUCAAAUGAAAAAGAACAGCAUAGUCGAACUAUGCGGGUAAUGGAUAACAUUAGUGAGGGACAAGUUGAUCGUAUUGUGGCUCCAACUCUGAGAGGGGAAAUCUCACCAGAUAGCCUGAGGACGUUUGUCAACAUUGCAGAAAGAUGGCUGCAUGAUGAACCAAAGAACCGGCCAAGAACCAUACACAUUCUAACAAAAAUUGAGCUUGCAAUUCAACAGCAGGAGAUGGCAGAAUCUUCGCCACCGAAAGACAGAACUAGUGUUGAGGAUGGUUCUUCAUUUACUGGUACAUCUCAGAAGGCGAACAUGAAAAUUUUUGGACCAAAUGAGAAAAUAAAUGUUGCCAUUGAUGCAAGUCCAAGUCUGGCAGGGCAGGUGUCUUCAUCUACUGGUACAUCUCAGAAGAUGAACAUGAAGCUUUCUGAACCAAACAAGAAAAUAGAUGUUGCUGAUGAUGCAAGUCCAAGUCUAGCACGGCAGGUGUCUUCAUCUACUGGUACAUCUCAGAAGGCUAACAUGGAACUUUUUGGAGCAAAUAAGGAAAUGAAUGUUGCCGAUGAUGCAAGUCACAGUCUGGCAGGGCAGGUGCCUUCAUCUACUGGUACAUCUCAGAAGGCGGACGUGAAACUUUUUAACUAAAUAAGAAAAUAAAUGUUUCCAAUGAUGCAAGUCCCAGUUCGGCAGGGCAGGUGUUACCUCAACCCACUUUGAGGGUUUUCAGCUUAGCAGAGCUCAAGGCUGCCACUCGGAAUUUCAGAAGUGAUUCAGUGCUGGGAGAAGGAGGCUUCGGCAAGGUCUACAAGGGGUGGCUGCAGGAUGACAGAGCCACCUCCAAAACCAUCAUUGCUGUCAAGAAGUUGAAUUCUGAAAGUAUGCAAGGCUUUCAAGAGUGGCAGGUACGAACAUAAUUCACUCACUUUGACGUUUUCACCUCUUCUCUGCUUAGCUUAGCUUGAGAAUAUAUGUAUGAAAUUGAGAACCGAUUUUGUGUACCUUAAUUUGCAGUCUGAGGUGAACUUCCUUGGAAGACUUUCUCAUCCUAAUCUGGUGAAGCUGUUGGGGUUUGGUUUUGAGGAUACAGAGCUCCUUCUUGUGUAUGAAUUCAUGGCCAAGGGCAGCUUGGAGAACCAUCUCUUUGGAAGUAAGGGAGGACUGAUUAAUUCAUCAACUUAAUUUAUAAUAUUAGAUACUUAAUUUGCUUACUGAGUCAAUCCAUCUUGGUUAGGGGGCGCGACUGUGCAGCCGCUUCCAUGGGCCACUAGACUGAAGAUAUUGAUCGGAGCAGCUCGUGGCCUAGCAUUCCUGCACGCAUCCAAUAGAAAAGUUAUCUAUAGGGACUUCAAGGCCUCAAACAUAUUGCUUGACGGAGUAAGCUCUCACCUUUAAACUACCAAACAUCUCAUUUUGGAGCUUCUAUAUUUUUAUUAACCUUGAGUUAUUUAUCCUCAGUCAUACCAUGCCAAGUUAUCUGACUUUGGCCUAGCGAAAUUGGGUCCAUCAGAUAGUUAUUCCCACGUGACAACACAGGUUAUGGGGACAUAUGGUUAUGCUGCUCCGGAAUAUGUUGCCACAGGUGAACACACGCCCGACCAGUUGUUGAAUUCAAAGAAAUUGAAGUUUGUGGGCUUGCACAUCGAACUGAGUUGGUUACUAUUAUUGCAGGGCACUUGUAUGUGAAGAGCGACGUGUAUGCUUUUGGUGUGGUGAUGGUAGAAAUUCUGACAGGGCUGCGCGCGCUUGACACCAACCGGCCUUAUGGGCAGCACAUCCUGGGUGAUUGGAUCAAGCCACAUCUAUCAGAUAGGAGGAAGUUGAAGCGCAUCAUUGAUGUUCGUCUAGAAGGCCAGUAUCCGAGGAAAUCCGCACUACAAAUAGCUAAGCUUGCCUUAACUUGCCUUGAAAGUGAUCCCAAAAACAGACCAUCUAUGCAGGAGAUAGUUGAGACACUCGAAAGAAUUGAUUAAUGUAAAGUACACUUUAGUCAGUAGUGGUGGUGUGAAGUUGUUAUUAUGAUAGUAAAUAGAGUGGAAUAUGCAUAAACUUUACUAUUUUGUGUUUGACGCAAAGUUUGUCGUUUGAAUUCAUGCAUGUAUUUCAAAAUGUUUUCUAUUUUAUCUUCAUCCAUGUUUUUUUUGGUGCUUGAAUAAACUUCAUCCAUAUUCUUGCCCAUAUGUAUUGCAUGUCUAACCAUGAGUUGCAGCUUUGGGCUGGCAAUAUAUUCUUCCUCUUUCAUCUCUUAUUUUCUCAACUACUUCUACUUGCACUUCGAGAUUCUACUUUUAUUGUUCUAGCAUCUUUACUUAGCUUCAAAAACACUUAGCAUCUUUAAAUUUCUUUAUUAAAAAAAUAAAAAUACUCUAGUUAUUGGGGAGUUGACAUAUCGAGCACAAUACUACCUAAAUCAAAAAUAUUGAGGUUGUGCAACAGCACAUUUACGACAAGUGAUUCUAGUUACUUCAUGCCAGUUCUUCACUAACUAAUUUUCUUUAGGGGGUGCAGCAAAUUGAGAAGUUGUGAAAUUAUUGCAACGUUUUAAAUGUCUUGUUAAAAAUACAAAAUGAGUGAAAAUUCAUGUAUUAAUUGACAUUUUUUUUUGAAGGGAUGUAUUAAUUGACAAUUAGUCCUUGUCUUUUUCGUACUUUAUGUUUAAAUAUUUAACAAAAAUAUAUUUCAAUUGCGUUAAAGUCCUAAGAUAUGUGAAAUAACAAUUCAAUUGAUCAUAGAAAGUAAAUAUUUCAUCUUUACAUAUACUUGGCCCUAAUUAGGAAAUUAGGCACACAAAGCAAAUAAAUAGUAUUAUUUUAAACAUAAAGGCAUUCACUUUUAGUGAAACUACAAACUUUAUAAUCUUAAAAUUUUGGAUCUCUUGGAAGUACAAAGAAUUAGGCUACUUUAAUUUGUCAAAUACCUUUCGGUUUAGUUGUUGUGCGUUGGAAAAUUGUAGAUUGUUGCGUGUAGUAACACUAACAUAGUAUGACUUACAUUUUGUUUGUUUUGGAAUUUGUGUAAAAUGUGGACAUUGUAGCAAGAGAAAGAAAGAAAUGUUGUUCAGCAUUGAAGACUUGAAGUUGUUUACUACUUAAAAUUAUAUUCUUGAAAAGAGUCUAAUUUACAGAGGCAUUUAUUUACAACACAUAUAGGAGUAUAAUAUUUGGGCUUGUAUGUAUGUAAUAUUCACCAAAAGUUUCCGGCUAUAAGAGAAUCAAAGAUAGUUAAAGUAAAUAGCAAAAUGAUUUUGCUGCUAACAUGUAUAUUAACUACAGCACUGAAGCUGCGAAUUUAGCAACCACCUUAUUCUAUGUUGCUUAACAUCAAAUAUAAAAGCUGUUCAUUUUAUUAACAAAAAAAAAAUAGAAAAAAAAAGGCCACUAUGACUUUACAUCGGUAUCCCAUCUCUUUGGCAGCAGUAGAGCAAUUAAAUCCGCAUACCAUCCCUUUCCAGGCAAUGUAAAGUUGAUGGUGCUGCAAAAUAUACAGUGAUAUGAAGCAAUGUAUGUUGUGAGAUAAUGGCAUUGAAGCUCUAUUGUUUACUAGAAUGUAGUAUAUAUUAUAGUUAAACAUACCGGAGAUGCCAACGGCCAAAUGCAUUUUGUAUGAGGAAGGUUUCCUAAUCUUCCAAAUAGUCUUCCAAAUAGGCCUAUGUUUUCUUGGUGAAUUCAUCAUUAUAUCCUCUGUUUGCACAUUCCCAGCUGACAACUCAAGCCCAACACUCAUCUUCCGAGUAGAUGAAGAUGAAUACACACCAUUUCUCUCUGCUUCCUCCUGCUGCACCAGUGCUUGCUGAAGCUGUGUGAUAAUCUGCGUCAUUGCUGGCCGCUCCUUAGGCUCAUCAUCCACGCAUCUCGCUGCAACUCCCACAAAUGUAUCCAGGCUAUCUGCUGAUAUCUUCCCUCUCAGACUCGGAGCUACAAUCUCAUCAACUUGACCACGGUCAAUCUUCUCUUUAGCCCACCUAGUUAGACUACCCGCUUCACCCCACGACCCCGUUGCAGCUCUCUCGCUCAAUACUUCCAGCAACACCACGCCCAAAGAGUAGGUGUCACUUUUCUGUGUUACUCUACGAGUGUCGCGAUAGUAUGGAUCCAAAUACCCACGCGUGCCUUUCACUUGUGUGCUUUGAGACUCCUCGCUGCCCGUUCCAGAUUUAGCUAGCCCAAAAUCUGAAACUUUAGCCACAAGCCUCUCUCGAGCAGAAUGUUUGAAGUCUUGACAUCACGGUGUGUGAUCUCUCGCCCCGUGUGAAGAUAGUCUAGGGCCCGACCAGCUCCAAUGCAUAUGUUAAGCCGCUGCUUCCAAGAGAGAGGAUGGAAGUGAUUGUGUUUGUGGAGAUGGUCAGCCAAUGUCCCAUUGGGCAUAUACUCAUAAACAAGAAUCAUUUCCUUUUGCUCACUGCAGCAUCCGAUGAGAGAAACUAGAUUCACAUGUCGAAGCUCAGAAAGCGUUUCAACCUCCAUCUUAAACUCACGCUCCCCUUGCUUGGAAUCUGGCUUUAAUCGCUUUAUGGCUACAAUCUUGCUCCCAUUAUCAAUGAACCCUUUGUACACUUUACCAAAUCCACCUCUUCCUACCACAAACCCUUCCUGGAAGUUCCUCGUGGCUGCUUUGAUCUCAGCUAGGCGAAAGCAACGGCAGCGCUGCUUUGCCCUGCCCCAUGGUUCGCCAUCCUCCUCCGUGUCCCGGAUUCUUUGCAGCAGAUGGUAACCGACGGUUGCCAGACAAAGCAAGGUAACGACAACAGUUGUGCGACUAAUACUGGAGUCACUAGCACGCGGCAACAGAGGAGGAUUGGGACUAGCAAGACUCCUGUCAUGGUUGCUUAAUUUGAAGACUUCAAAUCCUUCAAAGGGGCCAUGCUUAUCCAAGAAUUCAUGGUGAGAGUAGAGAGAAAUGGAGAUAUUUCUCUUACCCUCACGUUUCUGCCCUUCCACCAUCACCAUGUAGUUGUAAUUAUUUCCCAUUCCAUCUACCAAAUCAUCAGGACUAGUCAAUGCAAUCAUUUCAUCAAUGAGAAUCAUGAAAUCUUUGUGCAUUUUGAGACCUAGUCACAUAAAUGAAGCCUCACCAAGUACCUGAACCCCACAUCAACACCCACUCUCCACAUCCUAUUGUAUGAUAACGAUGAUGAUGAUGCCCACAUCCCAAACAUGCCAUCAUCAGAGCCCCAUUUUAUGUUUUGGCGAUGAACAAUUUCAAGUGCAGUGCUGUUGUCGAGAUGCACCACGUACCUGUGCCCUAGGACGUGAAUUCCGCGAUCCCCACCGUGGCAGUAGGAAAUGGCGGAGGGCACUGAUAUGAUCUCAAUCCCAUUGAUGAAAGCGUAGCUGUAUUUGGAUUGGCAGUUUCGGGGGAGAAGAGUAUGCGGAGGUGUUGGCGUUGUUGGAUGAUGAUACAGAAUUCCUUGGCGAGAGUAUUGACAGCAAGAGCACGAGCAGUUAUUGAAGCACUGAAAUUGGCUACUAGUGUGUAGGGACCAGCUUCGACGGUGAAGAAGUCGUUGAAGCGCUCAAAGCCAUGGUAGGCGACGGGAUUGAAGUGAAGGCGGAUGAUUUUCUGACCUGGACUGAGGUCAAAGGAGUAGGAAAAUUGGGAGCGGGAGAGGCGCGCGCUCUUGUAUGGAACUGGAUCGACGGCUGCGAUCAGCUCUGGCUUCGCGGUGGACGCCCUCGAUGAGCCUUCUGGUGCGGCGUCUCCGAGCCAUUGUCUGCCGCCGAGGGCUGUCGCCGGUGCAGCUCCGCCGCAGUUGAUCGAAAUGUGAUUAGGAUCGGCGGCGAUCAAACUGAAAAGGAAGAAGCAGAUGAUGAUCAGAAGGUGCAGUGUCAUGUUCCAAAAAUCUCAUGUUCAAAUCAUCGCAGGAGAGAUGGUGAGUCAACUUCAAAUCUAUCAGAAAAGAAGAAGAAGACGAAGAAGAAGACGAAGAAGAAUCCUCUUGUUUGAUCGGGCACUAAUAUUAUAUGCUACCUCUUGUUGCAUUCAUUUUCAACGAAAUUUACUUAGUAUCAAUUGUCUUCAUUCCGCGUUCCGCCAUGUUGAAAUUUAUAUAUCUAUAUAGAUUGUUCUAUUCACUCUCUCUCUCUCUCCCCUCCCUUUCUCAUGCCCAAGUAGACUUGGCAAAACCGCCUUUUUUUAUUGGAGACUCUGAAUUGACCCUCAAUUUCACCAUUACCGUACUAUCAUCUCAUCUUCGAGAAAUCAGAAUCAGAAUCACCUUGAUAUGCUGCACAAUCAUAUGAUCAUCGUCCUCCUCGUGAUUUCUAUCGGCCGCCUAGGCGCCGCUGUGGAUCCUAAUUGCAUUUCGAUCAACCGCGACGGCGGAGCUGCACCGGCGACCAGAAAAUGGCACCGCGACGCUGCACCAAAGGGCUCAUCAACCACCUCAACUGUCAAGGGAGACCUCAUCACGGCCGUCGAUCCCGUUCCCGCUCGAAUUUCCUCAUCCCAAUUUUCCUUCUCUUUCCAACCGAGUCCAGGUCAGAAAUUUCUACGCCUCCCUCAUCCUACAAUGGUUUUGAAAGCUUCAAUGAUUUCUUCUCAGCCAAAACUGGUCAUUUAUCGUUGCUAGCUAAUUUCAGUGCUUCCAUAACUUCUCUGGAAUACAAACAUAUACUUCAACCCAUCUGUUGAUUGUCAAAUUCAGUUCAUGUAUUUUAUAAAAUAAAAGGAAAAAUAUUACUCUUUCCCAAGAAUUAGGAAAAGGUUAUAAAUUGAAUUUUGAAUUGAAAGCUUUCAACAUAUCCGUGGGAGUAUUUAGAAAACCCCAAAGUAAGAGGCCAACCUAACUCCAGAUUAAGAAUGUAAGCAUGAGCAAUUGUCUCUUCUCUAAAUAAAAUUGGAGAAAAAUGAAGCAUGGCCAAUGCUAUAUCAAGUAAUUGCAAAAUAGUUCAUAUAGUUUCUUUCGUAGUUUGAUAAGUUACAAAAUUAUGUAGGAAGAGAGAGAGAGAUGCAUUUCAGAGUUCAUAUGUUGAGUCAUAAAUUGCUAUUUAUGGCAUUAUUUACGUAAAAUGGUUAUACUUUAAUUUUGAAUAUAUUUUUUCACUUCUGAUGACAAGUCCUAGAUGCAAAUUUUGCUUAUAAUGUGAAAUAAACAAUUUGAUGCAUUUGGUCAUAAAAUUCGGAUUUCUCACAAUCACAUGAAUGCAUGAGAGUUCUCUACAAUUUUAAUACCUUAUUUCGGAUAUAGAAGUGUACCACAUUUAAUGUAUCACUUUCAAUUUUAUUUACUUUUAUAUAGUAUUUGUUUCUUCAAUUUCAAGUUUAUAUGUUUUAGUUUAAUUUUGUGAUUAUUAACUAGAAUUUAGUUUAAUGAUAAAUCGAUAAAUUCAAGCCUGCAUUAUUUAGAAAGCUGCGGGGUGGUUUUGUUUCCAGGUAGGGAUACUAGUGAAGUUGAUGUGUAUGUUGACAACAGCGCUUCACUCGAAAGGGUUCAUUACCAGCACAUAAAAUGGGGGCCUGUCUCGGCCGGCGAUGAUAUCGCCUCCAUGUUUGGGAUGUGGGCUGAGCCAACUAUCAAAGAAAAUGCAGAAAUGGCUACUAACAAGACGUGGAGAGUAUCUGUUGAUGUGGGAUUCAAGUAUGUGGUGAGGCUUCACUUGUGUGAGGCAGGGCUCGACAUGGAUUUUGUGCUUCUCAUUAACAACAUGAUUUUCUUAACGAGUGCUGACAUGCUCCAACAGAGGGAAAACAGAAACUUCCUUUGGUAUAACAACUAUGUGGUGAUGGUGGAAGGCCUCAAACAAGAGGGUAACCGUGACAUCUCUAUUUCUCUGCACUCUCACCAUGAAUUCUUGGAUAGGCACGGCCCGCUUGAAGGAUUCGAGGUGUUCAAGUUGAGCAACCAUGAUGGCAAUCUAGCAAGUCCCAGUCUUGUGAUUCCGGUACAAGAUUCACCAUCACAGACUCUGCUGCACUCUCUCCGAGCUCUACUGUACAAUCCUUAUGGCCCCAUGAGUCUUCUCUCAUAUACUAUCUUGCUUCAUAUGUGUACAAUCCUCGUCAUAGUCUACUUGGAGAGCAAUGCUUUUGGCCUCAUGAGUCUUUUGCCAAAUACCAAGGAGGAUAAUAAACCAUCGUCCAUGGCAAAGCGACUAGCUGAGAUUCUAGGAAUAUGUGAAUAUGGUGGAGUGGACAGAGGGUUCGUGGAUUAUGGGAGAGAGAUUCUAGCCAUAAAGCCAUUAAAGAUAGAUUUCAAGCAAGGGGAGCAUGAGUUUCGGACAGUGAUUGAGACACUAUGGGGGCUUCAACAUGUUAAUCUACUUUCCCUCAUUGGAUGUUGCUGGAAGCAACAGGAGAUGGUACUUGUUGAUGAGUACAUUCCCACCACGAAAAUGGCUGACCGUCUCUAUAAACCACCCAGGAAAAGCAAUGAUGUUUGUCUGCAAUCAUGGAAGCAACGACUCCAGAUCUGCAUCGAAGUCAGUCAGGCACUAGAGUACCUUCACUCUGGCCCCAUGAUCGUGCAUAGGGAUUUGAAAGCUUCUAAUAUUCUGCUUGAUGAGAACUUUGUGGCUAAACUUGCAGAUUUUGGCUUAGCUGAAACUCGGAGUUUCAGAAAUUCACAGAGCCAAGAUAGCACAGAUCUUAUAGGAACAUGUGGAUAUAUUGCCCCGGACUUUUUUACAACUGGUGAGCUAACAAAAGGAAGUGACGUCUAUUCUUUUGGCAUGGUGUUGUUGGAAACAUUGUGUGGAAGAGCUGCAAUGAAGCCACGGAGUGAAGAAGAUAAUCGUAAAGAUAAUAAUAGAUCUCAGAAGGAGAACAUGAAUCUUGUUUCACCUAAUGUGAAAAUAAAUGCUGACAAUUAUGUGAGUAGGAUGGAGAGCACCGGCUCACAGCAGCAAGAGAUGCCUCCCGGAUUCCGGUUCCACCCCAGCGAUUUAGAGCUGAUGGCAUACUACCUCAAGAAGAAGAUCACCUCCACCCCUCUGCACAUUGAUCUCGACAAUUGUGAGCCGUGGGAUCUCCCAGGUAAAUCGAUAUUUUUAUUUUUUAAAUAAAAAUUGGUCACGUGUCCAAACUUCUUCCAACUGAUAAGAUCCGGCCUAAUCAAUCCAGAAACUGCGGCUACAUUUAGAGAGCCGGCAUGGUACUUCUUCAGCCUGAGGGAUAGAAAGCAUCUGAACAGUACGCGGGCAAACUCCAGGUACUGGAAGACGAGGGGGAUGCACAAACAUGUGAUGAACAGUUCUGAAAGUAUGCAGGGAUUUCAAGAGUGGCAGGUAAUUCAGUUGUUAUCACUUUGAGUUGGCUUUUAAGUUGUCGGAUAUGAUGUAUUCUUUGCUUAGAAAUAUCAUUUAUCUAUUGCAUGAUCCAUCUAAAAGGCACUGUUAUUUACUCAGCUCUUUAUUUCUACCUAUACAAUGUUUUGUGGUGACACUAACUAGUGACAAGUUGAGAAUUUAUGUUUCUAGCUAUACAAUGUUAUGCUUAUUUUUAGAACUUUGUUUAGAAAACUCUGAGGAUCUUGUGUGUAUUUUAACCUUGAGUGAUUUAUCCUGCCAAGAUAUCCGACUUUGGCCUAGCAAAGAACGGUCCAACACAGGUUAUGGCAACAUAUGGCUAUGCUGCUCCAGAAUAUAUUGCCACAGGUGAAUCUUCCCAAACUUCAUUUAGUUGUUGAACUGAGAGAAAUCAGAAUAAAAUUUGUGAUCGCAGUGUAAUGAGUUGGUUAUUGCAGAGCACUUGGGUAAUGUAUCUCGUCUUAAAAAACUGGUGAGGGGGAUGCACAAACAUGUGUUGAACAGUUUUGAAAGUAUGCAAGGAUUUGAAGAGUGGCAGGUAAUUCAGUUGUUAUCACUUUGAGUUGGCUUUUAAGUUGUUGGAUAUGAUGUAUUCUUUGCUUAGAAAUAUCAUUUAUCUAUUGCAUGAUCCAUCUAAAAGGCACUGUUAUUUACUCAGCUCUUUAUUUCUACCUAUACAAUGUUUUGUGGUGACACUAACUAGUGACAAGUUGAGAAUUUAUGUUUCUAGCUAUACAAUGUUAUGCUUAUUUUUAGAACUUUGUUUAGAAAACUGAGAGGAUCUUGUGUGUAUUUUAACCUUGAGUUAUUUAUCCUGCCAAGAUAUCCGACUUUGGCCUAGCAAAGAACGGUCCAACACAGGUUAUGGCAACAUAUGGCUAUGCUGCUCCAGAAUAUAUUGCCACAGGUGAAUCUUCCCAAACUUCAUUUAGGUUUUGAACUGAGAGAAAUCAGAAUAAAAUUUGUGAUGGCAGUGUAAUGAGUUGUUAUUGCAGAGCACUUGGGUAAUGUAUCUCGUCUUAAAAAACUGGUGACACGAAUGCGUGCAUUUGACACCAUUCGUCCUUCUGGACACUACUAUGUGGGUGAUUGGAAGCACAUUGAUGUUCGUAUAGAAGAAGACGCCAUGCCUUUUUGUGGAGUAUACGAUCUGGGUGAUUGGACGAAGCCACAUUUGAAGCACAUUUAUCCUACUAAAUCAGCACUGGACAUAGCCUUAAUUUUCCUUGAAAGUGAAGCCUCAAUGCAGGAAACACAGGAAAGAAUCUCAUCUUCUAGCGAGACUAUGAUGAUUAGGCAGUCAUUUGACCUCUGCUCUGCAGUAUCAAGAGGCAGCCAACCAAUAUUAUUUGUAUGUUAAAUCUAUGUGCUCGAUUGGUAAGGUGAUGAAGAACCAUUUGUGUAAAGUGAAAUAAGAAUUCAGUGUUGAACAAUAAACUGAACCAAGUUUGUCAAGUGUGUGUGCUUCAUUUCAUACCUUUGGCUGUGUUCUCUUUGGUUGUAAAAUUAUCAUGAGAAAAGAUGAAAUGAAUUUCCACUCUUGUUAUCUCAUGUUGUCUUUGAUGGAAUUUUUUUUUUAUUCUAUACACAUGUUCUCUUUGUUGGAAAAUGAUGAAUAAAUUGUUAAAUGACUAUAUUACCCUUAUUAUUUACUUAAUUAUUUUAUUCUAUACUUUCAAUUUGCUUGUUUUUUUGAGUGAAAAGACGGAACUUUCAAUUUGUUUGUUGUUUAUGCUUUUGUUUCACAAAUCAACAAGUAACUAUAAUUCACAAAUUCUUUUUUUUUUCUUUUUUUCUUCUUCUGGUUUUUACGUUCUUAUUUAAUUAUUUUUAUGGAUAUUCAAAUGUAAUACCCAACAAUCACAAAACUACAAUAAAAUAUUAUAAAAUUGCAUGAAUUAAUUUAAUGGGAGUCACAAAUAAACCAAAUAAUCGAAAUGUUCAUGAGAAAAAAAUGACGCAAGUAAUGAAUUAAUUAGGCAAGUUUUGAAACAAGCUCUACAUAUCAAAUACCAAAAUCAUAAAAAUCAUGAGAUUUUCCCAUAAAAGCCCAUCUGCAUUCUAAUUUUUUGUAUUCAUACCAAAAUCAUGAGAUUUCCCAUAAAAUCUCAUCUGCAUUACAAAACUGGAAAUCAAAACUGAAAAAUUUAGAAACAAAAUAAUACUAUGGUGAGAAAUGAUCGAGGCAAUACAAUAGUGUUAAACUGAAAUUCAUAUCUCCCUCCAAGAUAGACUUUCACAAGCUUAAAAAUAUGUAAAUAGUACUUACAAUUUCAAGUGAAAAACACCAAGUUCUUAGCUCCCAGUUCAAGUCAUUCAAAAAGCAUAAAACUUUCACAAAAAUAAAAUUUCUAAUGCAAUAGUACUUACAACUCCCGACUCAUUUGAAUGACAAAUUCCAGCCGCGCUUCGUGAGGGAGGCUAAGGAAGAAUUCCAAUUCUUCCUUGUCUUUCGCAAGUUUUCUCCCUAUUGCAACCUUAGCACUCAUAGUUAGAAUGGGAAACAUGUCCAACGCUUCAAACAGAGAUUGACGUGCAGUUUUGUCAUCCUUUUUAGGGCUCGUUUGGUUUUCAGUAAAGGAUUAUGUGGGAUAAUUUGUAACCAGGAUAAUUAGUGUGGAUAAUGACAAAUUAUUAAUGUUGAGUUAGUGUUUGUUAUCAUGGCUAAAUACAGAAUAUCCUGGUUUAAGUUAAUCCUAGAGGGGAGGUGGUAUUAUUAAUCCUAAGAAAUCUGGAUUAAUAAUACUGGGUCGUGGGUUUAAACCGGGUCAUCCGCAUUAUUACUAAUUAAUAUCAAACACUAGACUGAUCUGUACUAAAUUAGCUAAUACAGUGUAUUAGCCAAUAUCAAACAUGCCCUUAGGGGCCAAACUUUGAACCAUUUGAACAAGAGUCUCAUCUGUUUUUUUUACAAAGUUUGAGACUACUUCCACAAAAGCAUCUUCACAUAUUGAACUCACGGCUUUACGCUUCUUUCUUACAAGGUUUGAGCCACUUCCACUUGCAGUAUCACAAUCAUCUCCUGUUGGUAGAAAGUCUUCAUUUACCUUAUCGAGAUCUGUCUCAUUAAACUCACUAAUCUCUGCAUUGAUGUUUAGAGCUUCAUUCACAGUGUCUUUGCUCAAAGCUUCAUUCACAUUGUUCAAAACGCCAUUUGCAGCUUCACCAAAGUUGAUGGAAUUAUCACCUGUGGCCAUAUCUUUGCCAAAUAUUUCAAUCCAAUCUUCAUAAAAUGGCCAAGGGUCAUCCAUCUUGUUCCUCAUUGGUGUAUAGCCCUUGAUACAACAAAAAUUUCAUAGAUAAGAGUAAAGAACAUUGAUGAACAGAAAUGCAUAGUAAGGUAAAAGGCAUGCUGGACUGGGCUGAUAAGGAGCAGGAGCUCUAUGAUUCCAGCUAUUUAAAGUCAUUUUGCAUUCCAAAUAACCUCAAGUUUUCAUCCCAAAGGACUGCAACUAUCCUAAAAAGUGCAUGAAAAUGGCAUGAAGAACAAGACAAAGAUCAAAGAAUGAUUACCUUGUACAUUUCAUCCCAAGAUUCUUUUGUGCAUUCAACCUUUUUUUGAAUAGGGUUCCAGCUAUUUCCACUCUUUGAUAUAAGUCCUGACAAGAAACUAUAUUGCCUCUUCCACACGUGAACCAUUGAUUUUAUGUGGGGUUCCGCAACAAGUGUAAUUCCUGGAAUGGCCACCUUCAUUUGAUCCUCAAGAAAAAGAUGAUGCCCAGUUCUUAAUCCAUUUUCCCCUCGCCAAUAUACAACCUUGAGGCACUUUUAAGCCAAAUUGCUAUGUGAUUGCAUCACGGAGGAUACGGGCAUCGGAUGCAGAUCCUUCCCAUCCACUUAGCAUGUGGACAAACUUCAAAUCACGAUCACAAACUCCCAAGACAUUUAUAGAUACGAAUCCUUUUCUAUUUCUAUAAUGAGGGGCAUCAGAAAGAGGUACUGUAACUGGUAUGUACGUACCAUCUAAAGCACCUAAGCAUCCCUAAAAAAUUCUAUAUAAUUAGCAUGUACUAUUAUGGGCAGAAUUAGUAAAAUAAUUGUUUAAAUUACAUUAGUAUAAGUACCUUAAAAGGCCUCCAUUGUUCACUUGUUUCAUCUUCGGGCACGGGCACUGGGUUUACUAACAAGAGAUGAUGGAGACGCAAUAAAGCAUGUAAUACUGAAUGGAAACUAAGUCUUAUGGUGUUUCCCGAGCGUCUAAAAUCGAACUUUACAAUGCGGUUCUUACUGUGGUGUGCUAAGAUUACCAAAAAAGAUGUAACUUUCUCCUCAACCCCUACAUGUUUGGUUGGAACUAGACCUCCAGCUUGUUCUAAAAGAUAGCAUAACCUACUGAAGACAUCUUUGGACAUUCGUAUUUUGUUAACACAAGUCAAAUCAUCAGCUGAUAUAACUCGAUGCAAAUACUCCACUUGUUUAGGGAUCUUAUCAAUAAUUUUAUACUUUAAGCGCCGCCUACCAGAAGCUCUUGUACUAGGUAAAAUGUUUUUAUAAUAAUGGUGACCUAUCAUCAUAAGAACAAGAAGGCAUCUGCGUAUAAGGAGAAGGGCUAUAAUAACCAAAGUCUUGCGUCUUCUAUCGUCCAUGGUAUGUGUUUUGCUAUUUUCACAAUAUAAUACAAUUCAAUAUUAAUUACUAACACACAAUUUCACAAUACAAUACAAUUUAUGUAUGAUAAAAGGUCAAUACAUAGGAAAAGACGUACAUAAUAUCAAAAACUUAAUGAGCUGGACAUUUACAGAACUAAUAGACCUUUGGUGAGACAGCAAACUUAAAAGUAACAGGAAGAACCUUUGCGUGUGUGCCGAUAGAGCACAGCACUCUAGACUCAAAAUUUGUAACUUGGGCCUCAGAUGCUGCUAGAGAGAGCUGUUUCAGCCGAAAAGAUAAAUGUGUUACACAAGCAGUCGGUGGUGAUUGUUAGAAAAUUAUAAGUAUCAUAGAUAGAUGAAAUUUAUAAAUGAAAUGAGAAGCUUAAACUAUGUGAUUUACAGAUAAUGAGCAACUUUUUAUGAAAUUAUCUGCAAUAAACUUCCAAGACCAAACUCAUUCUUUAGUUUAUUACAACAAUCAUUUUCCCCAAAAAACUUGUACUGCAACACAUUGCAGCAAUAGAUUAACAACAAAAUUAGAGGCAGCUGGUGGACGUCGUAUACCACCAAAUAAUUCCUGCAGAGUUACCAAAAUAAAUUAGUAUGAUGAUAAGCAGGGUCGAUCCCACAGAGAGCAGGUAAAAUCAUUCAAAUCCCUAAAAUCUAUAAAAUUUGGUGUAGCCACCACGCCUUAAAAUUGAGAAGAAUUAAUUAAAGCUAAGAAUGCAAUAAAUCAAAUAAAAACUACUCUUGAAAUAAAUCAAUAAAAGGGUAAUUCGGCUCAAAUAAAUCCACACUAAUUCAAAGCUCUGAUCAUCGACGCAAAAAUUAAUUAAUCCCUAUCAACCAACCAGUUAUAGGAUACCGUGAAACGCAACGGACAUACCCCGAUUCCUACUUACUGUGUCGAUAAACAGCUGGAGAUGCCAGACCUGCUUAUUUCCUUUAUUAAAAUAUAACCUAACUGGAGACGCCAGACCUAGAUUUAAUAUUCCAAUAGCAUUAAGAUAAAGGAACCUAGUUUAGACCAAUUAUCCUAGAUACGCUAGUAAUAAUUAAUCCAUCAAUUUAUUCCUACUACGAACACGGUAGCUUUAUCACUAAUCAUCCCUAUUCCAACAAUUACGGAUUGGAGGUGCUAAUUGACUGUAAUCCAAUUAAACCUAAGUUGGCCAGACUUAAAUAAAAUCAGAAUUAUCUUUAAACCCUAUGAAUAAAUCGAAAUCAAUAGGAAUCAAUUUUAUGCCCAAUUAGGUCUCACAGAUUAAUAAAUUAGUGCUUCAUUAUUCUCGCCGAAUUAAAAAUUUAGCUACUCAUAAUUAAACUAAGAACAAUCAAUAAAAUAAAAGUAAACAUAAAAUAAUUGAACAUAAAAUAAACGAAAUAAUUGCACGUAAAGAAAAUAACGAAAAUUAUAGUAAAAUAAAACCACAAUUGAAUUGCAACUUCUGCCACAAAUAAACUCCAGCCGCCAAUCUCCCACAAAUCCAAAGCAAAAAGCAACUAAUUAAUUCUAAGCUAAAGGAAUUGUAUAAUUCAAAAGUCAACUCUCAUAAAACCAAAAAGAAACUUGCGGCUCCUUGUAAUCUAUCUAUCUAUAUAUAUAUAAAAGCUCAUCCACCUUCACAAAUUUUUUCCCACCUAAAACUAGAGUGUAAUUUCUAUACCAAUCACUAUUUAAUCCUAUCUUAAAUUUGGUAAUUAAUAAUUAAUUAAAGCAUUUUUUUGAACUUGAUUAAUAAAGCAUUAAAUAUGAUACUCCAUUCACAUAUUAAUAGUCGGUUAUAUAUAUACACAUGCAUAUAAUGUAAUACAUAACAUAUGUAUGUACAUAUCAAUGUACUUAUUUUUUGUGAUUUAUUACAUAUAAUAUAUUAAUAUAGAUAGUUUAUAAUUAAUACAUAACAUAUGUAAAUUUAUGAUUUAUGUAUAUAUUUUGUUUAUGGUAAUUAGUUCACACCCACAAAUAUUAUAGUAUAGUAAUUAAUGAUUCCUCCAAAUAUAUUCAUUGUCCAUUAUAUAUAAUGUAAGAAUAAUGAAUUACAUUAUACCAUGAAAUAUGAUAAUUUCUCACAUAAUUUCAAUUAUUCCAUUAUUUAAGAUUCUAAACUUUUUUUUGAAAUAUUUAUACCAAUUAUAUUUGAUCUAUAGAUGCUAAAAGAAUAGUUUUCUUUCUCAAGCAAUAAUAACUUUUCUACUAAUCUCUUUAUCUUUAUGUCAAAGCUAAUCUUCUUAUUUUUUUGUCAAUUUUUCUACUAAUAUUCUUAUUGUACGUAAAAGAAAACUAUUCUCAUAAAUAAUAAUUUAUAUUUUUUCUACUAAAAUUAACUUACUAAUUUUAGAAAUAAUUUUUAUUUUUUAUUUUUUAGUUUGUCUUCAUUUCGUCUACUCCAAAUCAUAUUGGUAUUUUUUUGUUAUAAAUUUUCUAUUAUUUUAAUUAAAAUAUUAGUUAAUUUUGUAUCUCUAAAAUAGUAUUAUACUAUAUGAUAGUUAUAUAGAUAUAAACUAUGAACCAAAGAUUGACUAAAAUAAAUUAAAAGUCACUUUAAGAUAUAAACUAUGAACCAUUUUUUGUAUUUAGAUCAUAAAGAUCUAUAGAGAAUUCAUCAUUCUAUUGGAUGGUCAUGGGUUCCAACACCCCCUCCCUCCAAUCACUUCUACUACAAAUGAACUAUCAUUGCACCCCGUGCAAUACACAUGAAAUAUUUUCGUAUUUUCCUAUAUAUAUAUAUAUAUAUAUAUAUAUAUAUAUAGAGGCAUCUUAAUGUAUAAAUUAUAAAUUUUUCUUAAUGUAUGAAUUUUAUGUAGAACACGUAUGAAUUUAUGUGUCAGUGUAUGAAUUGUGAAAAUUAAUUAUUUUGUUACCUUUGGAUUCGAACUCAGGACCAUGAAUUCAUCCAACAGGGUUACGAAUCAACCGUAGAUCUUGAUGAUCUAAGGGCUGAAAAUCAUUUAUAUUUUAUACACUUAAGAGUAUUUUUAUUCUAGCCGUUCUAUAUAUAUAUAAAAGCACAACCACUUUCAAAAAUAGUAAAUUAUAUUUUCCUGCCAAAAAUCACUUUACUAUUUUUAGAAAUAAUUAUAUUUUUAAAUUUUAAAUGGCAUAUCAUAUUUAUGUAUUGAUAAUUUUGGAUCAACAAUUAAUAAUUAAUGUUACAAUGGCAUAACUCAUGACAACAAAUUAAUUUUAAUAUUUUAAUUGAAUGUUAUUUCUGUAGUGGCAUGUAAUAAACUUAAGAAGAUUUACUUAUAUACAAUUAAUAAUAUAUUAUGUUAUAUAAAUGAUAUAUUCCAUACAAUAUAUGUGUAUAUAUAUAUUUAUUGAUUUUAAUCUAUAAUAGAUAAGAUAUUAUAGUCUAUGAAUGUUCAUUAAUUUUUAAUCUAAUAUAUAUCUAUAAAAUAAUAGUAUAGAAGGGGCAAAAACAUCCAAAUAUUCUAAUUAUAAUUGUUUAAACAAAAUAACUCAUAAUAUCAAUAUUAUAUAUAUGUAAUCAAAGUAGUUCAUUAAAAGUAAUUUGUCACUCACAUACACAAACAUAAAAGGAAUAAAUUUUCACCUUUAAAAAUUUGAGGACAUUAUAGAGUAGUAGCUCUUAAUCAAGACAAGUGAUUUGCUACAUUUGUUAUCAACUUUAUAAUUUUUCAAUGAAAAAUACUAACUAAGAUGUGAGUAGGAUUAAAAAAAUUAGAAUAAAAUCAAAUUCGUUAUUACAAUUUAAACUUAUGAAAAUGAUCAAUUUUUUUCAUGAAGCGUCUAUUUCUAUAUAAAAAGAAAGCAAAAAUGUGAAAAUGUCAAUUCAAAAUGAUUUCACUUCAUUGAAUUUUAAAAAAAAUAAAUCAUUUACUUUCUUAAAAAAAAUCUUAAACUUUUAUGUUAUCUUAUGUCAUUUUUUUCUCAUUCAAUUUAUAUAUUCCAUUAAAAAAUUAAUUCAUUUUAGCUUCAAAUUUAUCUUUAAAAAAAUCAUAAAUUCACACGACAAAAGAGUAUAAAUUUUAGUGUGCUCAAAACAAUCAUCAAACUUCUUCUCAUCUUUAUUGUCCUGAUACGCGUUAAUUUAAUUCUUUGAUUCACUCUAGCAUUAAUGUAUUGUCAAAUAAUAAAUAUGGACAUGUUAGGAAUAUACUUGUAUAAUUUUCUUUUACAAUGAUUUUCUUAAUCAUUUUGCAGAAUUCAAUCAGCCUAUAUAAGUGGGACGAAUGAAGUAUUUUGAAAAAAAUUCAGAGUUGUAUAUUAUGCAUCAAAUAAUAAAAAUUCUAGAAAAUCUUUUUUACUACUAUGCAUAAAUAAAGUUUUAGAAAAAAUUUAUUUCUUAAUAGAAACCUAAAAUAAAAACAGAUGAAUAUUUUGAUGGACAUUUUAACUAGCUAAUAAUGAUAGUUGAUAAAAAUAUGUUGUUAAUUGAUAUUGGUCAUUGAUUUAACUUACAUACAA
rnacentral:lncRNA from 1 species